ACUUGUACUUGUAGGGAUGCUUGGGUGGUGAUGGUGGUGGUGGUGGUGGAGACUUGUACUUGUAAGGAUGCUUUGGAGGUGAUGGUGGUGGUGGUGGAGACUUGUACUUAUAAGGAUGCUUUGGGGGUGAUGGUGGUGGAGGUGGGGACUUGUACUUGUAAGGGUGCUUGGGUGGUGAUGGUGGUGGAGGUGGUGGGGACUUGUACUUGUAAGGGUGCUUGGGUGGUGAUGGCGGUGGAGGUGGUGGAGACUUAUACUUGUAAACUGGAGAUGGUGGGGGUGGAGACUUGUACUUGUAAGGGUGCUUGGGUGGUGAUGGUGGGGGUGGGGGUGGGGGUGGGGACUUGUACUUGUAGGGGUGUUUGGGUGGUGAUGGUGGUGGUGGUGGUGGGGACUUGUACUUGUAAGGAUGCUUGGGUGGUGAUGGUGUUGGAGGUGGAGGAGACUUGUACUUGUAAGGAUGCUUGGGUGGUGAUGGAGGAGGUGGUGGGGACUUAUACUUGUAAACAGGAGUUGGUGGGGGAGGAGAUUUGUACUUGUAAGGCUUCUUGUGUGGUGGUGGUGGUGGUGGAGAGUAGACCGGAGGAGGCGGUGGUGGAGACUUGUAAUGGUAAGGUGGUGGUGGGUACUUCUUAGGAGGUGGUGGAGGAGAAGAAUAAGUGUAAUCUGCUGAGGUUUCAAAAGGCAAAUUGAGAGACACUGCUAAAACUAAAAGAGUGAGAAAGAGAGAGGUCAUUGAUGACCCCAUUUUCCCCAUACUUCUAAAAAUGGGUUUAAUUUGGUUAUGCUCUUAGCAACCCUCUUCACUCCCUUUAUAUAGACUUUUUUUUUAACCUUAUAAUCAUGAUAAAAGUUUGAAGAUGGACCGAACCUUCAGCAGCAUGUAAAAAAGACAUUACGUUUAGGUUAUUAGCAUGGUAUGAUAUAAUAAUUCUCUAUUCUCUUCCUUGUCGUUUCCCAUAAAUUCAAUUUUCUCUAUUAAAUAUUUAUCAAAUUCAUUUCUCACUCCCUAUUAAUUCUUUAAUAAGUUUAUAGAAUAUGAAUAAUUAAUCAUUAAACUCGAUUUAAUAAAUACUUUAAACAAUUAAUAAUUUAUCUUAUUUUAUGCUUUAAUUAAGGCAUCAAAUCAUAAUCCUAUUUUAUAUUUUGAAAAUUUAUCAUUUUUUAAAGAACUUAAUUGAUUAAAAUGUGAUUCUAAUAUUUGGCAGGAAAAAUUAGUUUACUUUCCUUAGAAUGUAAUAUUCUUUUGAGAGUUAUUUUCUUACUAAUAAUAGAAAGUGAUAAUUCGUGAGAAAAUUACUUUCACAUGUAAAUAAAAAUUAUUAGAACAAAAAAUUAACUUUCUUUUAUUUAUGUUUAGGUACUAAUUAACUUAUUGAGAUAAAGAUAGUUGUAGCUUGCUUUUUCAUGUCAUUUUCUUAUCUUUACAACUUCAAACCAUUAUUCUAGAGUAAGUUUUUUUUUUUUUUUCUAAAUAGUAGAUAAAUAUCUAUAUUUUAUUUUGCUAUAAGAAAAUUAUAUUUUUUAGCAUACAAAACUUAAAGACAACUUGUAGAAUCAAGUAAUUCUAUGAAAAGCAAGCCUAUUCACAUAUAAUACCUAUUACUCUAGCAAUAAUAAUAUUGACAUUGUCUAAAUUUUCUAAUAAAAAAAUUAUAUAAUUUGUAUGUGUUAAAAAUGAAAAAUAUGGCGGUUAUUAAAAAAGAUUUCAUACAUCUAAAUGAAACUACUAAUUUAAAAAUUAGUAUUGAGAUAAUUUCAAGUUAAUAUUGAAUAUACUUGAAUUUGUACAUACAAAGUAAUGAGGGUAAAAAUUUUGUAAAUUGUACAUCUUCACAAUCUUGAGUUAAUAUACAAUUUUUUAAUGUAUUAAUAUAAUGUUUUAGAUCAAGAUGUGAAAAAACAUAACUCAAAUAUUUGUUAAUAAUAAAAAAUUAUUAAUAAAUAUUUAAUUCAAAAUUUAUUAAUAAUAAAAAUUAUUGAAAAAUAUUAAAUACGUUAAUAUUAUUUUUAUAUAAUAAUGAUAAUUUUGUACAGUAAUCUUAUAUUCUCAAUAAGUGUUAAAUGUCUCAAGAUUUUAAUUAAUACUUUUCAGUGGUUACCAAACAUUGUGAAAUAACUUCUUGAACAAUGAUAUUCUUAUCAAUCACAUUCCAUUAGAAAUUUAACAUAGGAAAGCACCAAAACAACCGCUUAAAAAUGAAUGUGCAUGAUUAAAAUCGCGAUAAGUCUUGUUUAUCUAAAAUUUAAAUAUUCAUUUUAUUAUUUAAAAUAUAUUAAUUUUCCAAAAACAAUCAUUAAUAUUUAUAUUUCUAAUUUUAAACAUUCUUUUGUUAAUUAAAUGAUAGUGUAAACGGUUAAACUCAAAUCGAAAGCAUUUUAUCUUAUAGUAGAUUAUAUGACUCAUAUUAUGGUUGAAAGUAAAAUGUAUAAAAUCAAUACAAACAUCAAAUAUUAAACUUGCACUCAAUAGAUUUUAAAAUUUCUAAUUUUACCACUAAUCUAUUUUAAGAUUUUUAAAAAAUCGUACUUUAGAUUAUCUAAUUUAAAUUUUAAAAUUAUUAAAAAUAAAAAAAUUCUUAAUAAAAAAAUUUGUUUCAAAUUUUUAACCUUUUAAUAUAAUUGUUUUAACUGGUUAUCUAAACUAAAUAAAAACUUAUUUAGUAUAAAAAAAAGUGGUAAAUGUGAAAGGAGCACAAAUCACAACUACAAUAUGCUACAUUAGUUUUAUAAUUGGAUUAAUUUAAUCACCGGCAGAGGAAAUGUGUUAGUUCUAGCUACCACCAAUUUAUUUUAAUUCCUUUAAAAAUAUUAGAAAAAAUCAAUUUGAUUUUUAAUAAUAGAUCUAAUUACUUAAAGGAACAUCGGUGAUGUCCACAUGGCAUACAAGGUUAAGCAUAUAAAAAAAGAACAAAAAGAUUAAGUAUCUUUGCAAGAUAGCUUUCUGAAAUAAAUAAAACUUAAAUAAAAACAAUUUUAUUAUCAAAAUAAAAAGAAAAAAGAAAAGAAAUACUAGUGUUUUUAAUUAAAAUAGAGUGAUCUGGGUAGAAUCUUUUACUUAAAUACUGACAUUGACUUUAUAAGCUAUUUUUUAUCAAAAGAAGAAAGAGAAAAGCAUCCGAUUGAAGAUGUGAAUUAUUAAAUUAAAAUUAAUCAUACAUGUAAAAUUUUAUUGUGCUUUUUUCUAGCCCUCCGAAUGACAUUAUGCUUUGAUUACAACAUUCUUGCUCAGAGAUCGGGUUUGAAGAUGAACUCGGAUGCAUUUAGAUUUUUACAAGUAAAUUAAAGGAUGUUAGAACUUGUAUUCCGAUAAACUUAUAAUACAGAAAGCAAGUAAUAUGUGACUGUACAUAAUGGCUAUGAGGCGAGGAUAUGAUAUGAGAAGAUAGAGAUGAGAGAUUGCACUUAAGGGGUUAACACCACUUUCCUUUUUGUGUUUGGUCCCCAAAGCAUCUCUUAUUGGCUGAUGUUGCAAGGCCGUCCCAUAAGUUGGUCUAAAAGUGCUUGAUAGCUAGAAUUAAUAUUGUGGUAUAACAUAUGUCACCACUAGGUUUGAAUAAGGUUACACAGUGAUUUGAUGAAGAUUUAAAAAAGCAUAGAGAUAAUUAUGUUGCAAAUAUUGUAAAAGUAAGAGCUAAAUUGUUUGGCUUUAUUAGAGUUUAGACUCUGUUAGUCUAUUACCAUUCUCUAUUAGUCUGUUACCAUUUUGUUAUAUAGGCUGUAAUAUUGUUAGAAAGCAGUUAGCAGCUGUUAGUCAUAGUAGUUAGUCAUACAAAUAUAAAUUCUAUUCAUGUAUUGUUCAAAGGUAAGCUAAUAAUAUCAGAAGCGAUUUAAUGUAUUCAUUCUACUUUUUUUUUAUUCUUCAUAAUACAGUUGUUAACAUGGUAUCAGUACCCUAAUUUCUUAGAGGUCGCUUCUAUUGUAGAUCCAUGGCCAAUUCCACUGAUUCUACCUCCACUGGUCGUAGCAGUCCCUCGUUCUCGAUUCAUGUUUGGUUCAAUCGUUUCCUCGUCGUCACACUGAGAAGUUAGAUGAAAGAAAUGUUAUGCAAUGCCAACAGCAUAUCCUAUUGAUAAUUGAAGGGUAUGAACUCAUAAGAUUUUUAGAAGGGACGUUACCUACUCCGCCUCGCUUUGUGUCAUCUCCCGAUGGAACCUUGGCUUCGGCUCCCGAUGCAUUCCUGUUUGUUCAGCAAGAUAAGUUACUCGCUCUUUGGUUGCUUUCUACGAUUAGUGCUCCUUUGUUGUCCUCUUUUAUAGCUGCUAAGACACCGUGUGAGGUUUGGAGCACUGUGAAUCACCUCUUUACUGUUUCCACCAGAGCGAAGUUAUCGCGUAUUAAGCAUGAACUCCACUCCAUCAAGAAAGGCAUGAUGACUGUCAAAGAGUAUAUUAUUAAGAUUCAAAAUACCUGCACCUUACUCGAGGCAUCUGGAUUGGUGGUUUCGAAGGCCGAGAAGGUAGAGAUCAUUCUUGCUGGCCUAUCGUCAGAUUAUGAUGUCGUUUUAACACUACCAUAGUUCUCUUCUGAAACUCUUCCGUUACAGAAGAUAGUUGUUGUGCUACUGAAGUUCGAAAGCCGUCAGACUCAUGUCGUGAAUGACAUACCUUUUCAUGCUCAUCUGGUAGAGGCCACUUCGGCGACAUCGGUGGAGGACUCCGUACAUGGUAGCCAUCCUCCUCCUGGUGCUCGUGGGCAUGACUUUCGACUCGGCUUCAGUUCCAGAUCUAUGGUUGCUAUGGACAUCUGGCACAACGCUGUUAUUAUCAUUUCAACCGCGAAUACAGUGGUCUAUCUGCUCUGACCAUGGCGCAGGCUUCGCUUUUGUGCUGGGCACUAUUCGUGUGACAAUGUUUUUGGUGCAACUGGUCUCUUGACCGGCUGGUUUCCAUCAGCUCAUCCUAGUUCAAACCCCUUCGAUGUGCCUGGACAGUGUGCCGAUUCUUCGGUGACGGUACCGGCGCAUUUCCCUUAUGGCUCCUCUUGGGGAGGAUGGCCACAUUUGUAAAACAAUGCCUCCCUUGUGCCAAGUCUACCGAAUGUUAGGGUUUCUAACCUUUUUGCUCCUAAUUUUAACAAUGAGGCAAGCUAAGUGUUUGGGCCCGCUGUUGAACCAGGCUCAAAUAGUGACCAAUCUGGUGGUCCUCACUUGCCGCUGAAGAUGGGCUAACGCAUUGGGCCAUUCGCUGGUGUUCCUAGGCCAACUGCUUCAGGCCAAGAUUUUGGCCUAAAUGGAAUUGGUAGGCCAGCCAGUGCUCGUCCUAGCAUUGGAUAGGGUUCACUUGGGUCAAAUGUCAAUUUUAUUGGACUUGAGGGUUCUUUUGGGUAUAGACAAGAGUUUGGGCCCACCACUGGCAAUGUUUCAGUGCCAAUUAAUAGAUCAUGUGUUCCAUGGCACACAAAAUCGAGGGCACGCGUUAUUGAUUUUGAUUCUUCGCUGUGCGUUGGGUUGCAUCGCUUUACUAAUUUUCACGCAUCCGAUUUUUUUACUACCACUGGGUCUAAUGCCAAUACAACUCCAUAUAGGUCUAAUUUUGAUAAUGGUAAUUCUUACAUUCCUAUGCCUAUAGGGACCUCAUCAUGGUGUCUUGAUUUAGGGGCUACGCAUCAUGUCUGUUGAGAAGUCUCUGCCUUGAAUAAGUCUACGCCAUACUCAAGUACAUCUCCUUUCUUCACGGAUGAUGGUAUUCCUACAAAAAUAUCGUAUGUUCGGAAUCUUAUCUUGUCUAUGAAAACCAAAUUGCUUCAUUUGUCUAAUGUUUUGUGUGUGCCAAAUAUACGGAAGAAUUUGCUAUUUGUUUCUCAGUUUGCUAAUGACAAUAACGUGUUCUUUAAAUAUCACCUGUCUUAUUGUGUUAUUAAAGACAUCCAGACUCAUGAAAUUUUACUACGGGGCUACACUCGUGAUGGGCUCUAUUAUUUUUCGUCGGUUACUCUUGCUCUGUUUGUCGUUGUUCCUUUUUUCAUAGCACUGGGAUCUAGAGUCGCAAUGCAUAUGAUGAUUGUUUUGCAUUAUGGCAUCACAGGCAUAGUCAUUUGUCUGCCUCGAUUGUUAAACUUGUUCUCGAUAAGUGUCAAGUUGUUUCAAAAUAAAAUGUGCCUUGAAAAUAUUUGUAUUGCAUGUCAAAACGGGAAGUCUCACAAACUGCCUUUUUCAAGUUCUACUACUGAAUAUACAAAUUUGUUUGAUUUGGUUGUCUCUAACUUAUGGGGACCAACGUCUGUUGUCUGUAGAAAUAAUUUAUAUUAUGUUUUGUUUAUCGAGAUGUGUAGUUGAUAAACCGUAAUUUAUACAUAUUUUUAUCCUAUGUUUGGCACAUUUAUAGAUGAUUUAUCCUUAGAUUUGGUGAAUUCGAUGCUCCUAAUCCUUUAAUUUCAUAUUUUAUACUUAGGAGAGCAUAGGAGGGCAAAAAGAGCGAGAAACGGGCCGAAAACGGAAAAAAUAGACCCACAUGGGAAAUCAACAUGGCCUGGACUUCCUCACACUGGUAAGCCACACGGCCGUGUCCAUUUGGCAGGAUCGAAGCAAGACUUACACGAGUAGACUACACGCCCGUGCCUUUUUAAUAGCCUUGACCACUGUCUGGAGCAAUCGCGCACGGGCAUGUCCCUGUCGAGCCCAAGUAUAGUCUUAUUCGGAAAAGGUCUAUUUUAAGGGCUCUUAGGCAUUCUAAAGCUUAUUUAAUCACCUGAGAAGGCACUUAAAAGGGGGGACACGGAGUAGGAAGCAAGGAAUUACUCGAAGAAAGCCGAUUGAUCCAUCUCAGAAGCCUGAUUAUUCAUCAAGACUGAAAAUCUCCCUUCAAUUACCAUUCAGGAGUUUUGGGUUUUCUUUAUGUUUUGUAUUCAUUAUUCUUCUGAGAUGUUUUCUUUUAUAAUUAUGAUUUAAACCCUCUAAAUACCUAAGGGGAAUGAAACCUAAACGGAUCUUGUUAUUAUUAUCUGAAUUAUAUGAUAAAUAUUUGACUUGUUUUUAAUUAUAUGUUCUUAAUUCUUGUCUUAAUAUUCCAGGAUAUUGAUUCAAGUUAAUGCGCUUAUUCAGAGGAGCAAAAGUCCCUGUCUAAGAGUAAAUUUGUCAUAAUUAAACAGAGUUGAUUGCACACCUAAAGAUAGGGUAACAAGAUUUUGCCGAAUUAGGGUGAAACCUAAUAAGGAGAUCCAUAGAUCGAGUUAAUGCAACACUAGGGCGUUAAAUAGAAAGAGAUUUCAAUUAAUCAACCUAGGGUUAGAUGUUAUUAGUCUUGAGAGAGAUAAUAAUAUAACUUAGGGAUUUGUACGGAUCAUGUCAAAUGGAUAAAUCGACUGAUUCAGAGUCAAAUAACAAGUGAAGUCUAGGUGGAUUUUUCCUUGGGUAUUGUCCUAAUCAAGCGAAUUUUCUAAAAGUAUUUUCCCCAAUUUUUCAAGCGAAUUUUCUAAAAGUAUUUUCCCCAAUUUUCUUUCUCUGCACCCUUAGUUUAGUUAAUUAGUUUUAAUAAACAAAUCCUUUAAUUUUUAGGUUAGAUAAUAAAAAGAAAGUGAUUACUAGUACUCUUGGUUCCUUUGGGUUCGACAAUUCGGUCUUGCUAAAGCUAUAUUACUGUUCGAUAGGUACACUUGUCUUUAUCGUGAUAAUAGUUGGUUUCAAUAACGAUCAUUUCUAAAUUAUUUAAAACUUAUCGCAAGUAUCAUGAAUCAAGUUUUUGGCGCCGUUUCCGGGGAACUAAGAUAUUAGGAACACUUGAUUUUUAUUACUUUAGCCAUUUUUCUUUAUUUUUACUUUAAAUUUUUAUUUUCUUUUCUAAUUUUUCUUUUAUUUGUUCCUGACAGGUUUUUAUAGUUUAUGAUUAGAAGAAACCCGUCGGGACCAUUACUGUUUGAUAGUGAGAUCGAUCGCACAGUUCACAGAAACCAAAGAAAAAUAAGACGAAGCUUAAGAUACAAAAAGGAAGAGUAAGACGACGAUACUUCAACCACAAUCGAGAAGAUGGCUGAAAACCAGGAAAAUUUGCUACCUCCUGUGAUUUCUGCUGAUCCAGUAAAUCAGAAUCCUACUCCACGCACUAAGUAUGAUUAUGCUAAACCUACUUUAACAGGAACUGAGUCAAGUAUAGUUAGGCCUGCUAUUGCUGCGAAUAAUUUUGAACUGAAACCUAACACAAUUGAAAUGAUACAGCAAUUUGUUCAGUUUGAUGGUUUGCAGGAUGAGGAUCCAAACAACCACUUGGAAAAUUUUCUAGAGUUUUGCGAUACAUUUAAAAUCAAUGGCGUUUCUACUGAUGCCAUUCGCCUUCAGUUAUUCCCUUUUUCAUUGAGGAACAAAGCUAAACAGUGGUUGAACUCGUUACCACAAGGGUCAAUCACUGCUUGGGAACAAAUGACCGAAAAAUUUUUAUUAAAAUAUUUUUCGUCGACUAAAACAGCCAAAUUACGUAAUGAUAUCUCUUCAUUUAUGCAAAUGAAUAUAGAAACACUCUAUGAUGCAUGGGAGAGAUACAAGGACCUUUUAAGAAGAUGUCCUCACCAUGGGUUACCACUCUGGCUACAGGUUCAAACGUUUCACAAUGGCCUGAAUCCUUCGACUAGACAGAUGAUUGACGCAGCUGUUGGAGGAACUAUCAAUAAUAAGACACCUGAGGAUGCUUAUGAAUUUAUAGAAGAGAUGUCACUAAAUAAUUAUCAAUAGCAAGUCAUGAGGACAAAACCGAUGAAAGCAACCGGGGUUUUUAAUGUUGAUUCGGUCACCAUACUUUCUAAUCAGGUAGAACUUUUGAAUAGAAAAAUUAACAGUUUUUUUGGUUCUUCACAGGUUCACCCAGUAAUGCAAUGCAAUGCAAGUGGGGGAGAAUUGAGCAAUUCAGAAUGCCCACCCUAUGGCCACAACAUGAAAAACAAGCAAUUAAAUUAUAUGGAUAAUAAUCCUCGACCUCAAAAUAAUCCUUAUAGUAACACUUACAAUACAGGAUGGAGGAACCACCCAAAUUUCUCAUGGGGAGGCCAAGGGAAUCAGAGACCACCACCAUUUCCAGGUUUCUAACAGCAACCUUACCAGCAAAAUAAAAAUUUGAACCUUGAGGAAAUGCUAACAAAAUUCAUCUUGGUGUCAGAAACUCGUUUCCAGAAUACCGAGACAGCACUUAAAAAUCAACAAGCGUCGAUCCAAGGGCUCGAAACUCAGAUAGGCCAGCUCGCUAAAUUGAUAUCUGAAUGAACACAAGGUAGCCUACUGAGUAACACUGAAUCUAACCCAAGGGAGCAACUCAAUGCGAUUGCCAUUCAAGAUGAGGAAGGGUUAGUUACAUCUAAACCAGAACCGAGGCAAGAAACUGUGGUAAGUAAAGGUAAAGGUAAGGUAAACCACAUCGAGCAGAAACCGGUAAGUAAAGAGUACAAACCACGAGUGUCAUACCCAAAUGCGACAAAGAAAGACCAUACAGAUGAACAAUUUUGUAAACUCCUUAAACUAUUAAAGAAAUUACACAUUAACUUACCGUUUAUUGAAGCCCUUUCGUAGAUGCCGAACGCAGUCAAGUUUUUAAAGGAGCUUUUAGGAAACAAGUGAAAGUUGGAUGAAGCGUCGCAUGUGGAGUUGAACGUAGCUUGCUCAGCUAUUCUACAAAAUAAGCUACCCAACAAAUUAAAAGAUCCAGAGAGUUUUACAAUUCCUUGCUUAAUUGGUAGCUUAGAUGUUAAUAAUACUUUGGCUGAUUUAGGGGCUAGCAUCAAUGUCAUGCCUUACAAAAUGUUUAAGUAACUAGGUCUUGAGAAACCCAAACAAACUAAGAUGAGUAUUCAAUUAACCGAUGAAACAAUUAGAUUUCCUAGGGUUAUUAUUGAAGAUGUACUCAUUAAAAUUGACAAAUUUAUAUUCCCAGUUGAUUUCGUUGUUCUAGACAUAGAGGAGGAUAGUAACGUUCCUUUAAUUUUAGGGAGCCCUUUUUAGCAACUGUUAGAACAAUAAUUGAUGUUGGCACAGGUGAACUCACACUUCGUGUGGGAGACGAAACAAUCACCCUUUAAGCUCGUAAUUCAAGUAACACAUCAAAAAUUGAAGGUGGUUGUAUAAAUCAUACUAUUAAAACUGAUCAUUUGGUGAAACCUUCCUGGCAGGAAACACGUUCAAAGAACACACCUGAGCCAUGUUCGAGUAACGACAAAAGACCUAUCUAUGAAGAAUGAAGGCUACAACUUGAGGAACUAGAUGAAUAGCUGACACAUAAACCGAGGACACACGAUAAACCAAAACCAUGCCAUGACGAGCUCAAUAUUUCACCAAAUCAACUUAAGGUUGGAGACAAAGUACUACUAGAUGCGGUAGACCCUCGUAUUGCUACGUCUGAACCUAACGGAGCAAUCCCUCUUACAGUACUCAACAUUUUCCCAUAUGGUACAGUCGAGGUUAUUCAUCCCAAACUCGGCACUUUUAAGGUAAACAGUACUCGUCUUAAACCUUAUUUUGAUAAAAUUGAUAGCAGGGAUGAGGAGUGUGAACUCCUCACAUCACAAUGACCAUGCAACAGAAAGGUAAGUCGAGCUUAGACUAUAAAUAAGCGUUUUUCGGGAGGCAACCCGAGCAUUAAUGAUGUUAACUUUUUUAAAAUUUUAGUUUUUUACAUCUAAUCACUAACUGAGUCAGUGAAACACAGGUUUUCUAAUCUACACGGCCAAGCACACGGACAUGCCUUAGGCCGUGCUCACACCAUGGGAGGAGACACAGCCGUGCGAUACUGCCGUGUGAAAACAGGGUAAAAUUUUUCCUUAACACGGGAUGUGAUAAGUUGCCACGGCCGUGCGAUGUAGCCGUGGGCGAGUCUUUCAAACCAACACAGGCGUGUGACACACCCGUGUCUAUAAACCAUGGUUGAAACUGAGAAUUUAGCACGAGCAUGUCCUAUCAACCGUGCUCAAGACUGAAAAAAGAACACGGGCGUGGACAUCUAUACACGGGCAUUGGAGAAGAGAAUGAAACAGAACAUGGUCGUGUGACACAGACGUGUGCACCAACACGCCCAAAGAGCACGGGCGUGUGAAGAAUUUCAGACACGCCCAAAUUUGAAAAUUACGAUAAACACGAGCUGAAAUAAGGGCACAUGGGGGUGCCCCACGACCGUGUGCCCCAAAAUCUAUAUAAACCCCUUACUAUUCAUCACCCCCUUCCCCAAAAUCUCUAACCCUAGCCGCUGCAACUUCACAUGCCCUACCUGCCACGCCCGUGCACCGUCCACAGCACCACCUUUGACAACCCAAAGCUCCUCCCUCUUACGUUUGUACAUUUUUUUCCUUCUAUUCUCUUCAUUCUUUUACUUAUUUGAUGAUAUUUUAUUUUAUUUUGAGUAAAUAAUCAUAGUUAUAAUGAUAGAAUACUUAUGCUCUUUGUUAAGAAAUUUACCAUUUUAAUUGAUAUAUUUUGCUGCAUUUAUCCACUUUUCUUGUUUCCAUAGAUUUCAUGCUUACCCACACCAUAUUUCAUACUUAUUAAACCCACAUGCAUUCAUUCAAUAGAUAUUUCCAUUAGCAUUACUCUCGUAGUCCUAUUCAUAGUAAUGACUUAAUAUAUCUGAUUGGGUUAUUUUUAGUAUAGUUGUUCUUUAGUACAUGACUUCUAUGAAGUAUCUCUAUUAGUUUUACCAUGCAUAUUUUCUAUGCUAUUGCUGGGGAGUAAUUUUAUUUUUUAUUUUUUCUUGCCAUUGUAGGUAUACUAUCUCAACCUUACGUGGUAAGGAGACCGCCAUCCCCUCUUCGAAGAAAAGGAAAGGAGCAACGUCAUCCUCAGGUCCUACCGCUGAGAUCCGUUACCCUUUCCUCCAGUUUCCCUUUGGACCCCAGGAGGAACUAUUUCAGAUAUUACGGGUCCGACCCUUAGGUGUAGGCCACUGCAUUGACUGGGCUGCACUUAAAAAAAUUCAAAUGGCUGACGUGGUCCAAGCCCUCCUGACGACUACCCGUGGAGGCUUUUCUUUGAGAUCAUCGAGCCGAUGUACCACGAGCUCACAAUGGAACUCUACUCGACCUUCCAUCUUCAAGUCGCCAUGAUAAACUGCGACGAUCCUAGAACGGUCCAAUUCCACCUCAGUGGUCUAGUGCGCCAGUUGAGCGUACCGAAGUUCAGAAUUGCACUAGGGCUGUAUAUGGAAGAGUUCAUGGAUGACAACGAACUUGACACCCUCUAUUGCCACAUCCACUACUCUCUCUCCAAAUGCUGGAAGGACUUUGUCCCUGCCUCGGCCACCUAUGAUCCUAACUACUCUAAGGCAUCAGCCCUCACCCCAUCCCUGUGAUACCUACACGCCAUCUUAGCCCACACUCUGACAGGGCGGCGAGAGAGCACCGGCAUCAUCAACACUCACGACGCCUACUUUUUAUAGAGCAUGGCAAACGGGCACGUCUUCGACCUUGCCUAUUUCAUUGCUCUCGCCAUCCGCCAUCAGACGGAGCGGCAUAGGAGAGGAGUUAUCACCAUUAGCCACUAUGUGACUCGACUGGCACGGCACUUCGGGCUCCUCAACACAGCAGCAUAAUCAUCCUCACUCACUCUCAUUGGUCAUAUGUCCCCUCAAGGCAUCUCGAGUAUGCUACAUAUGAGGAUGCUCGAGAAACGACGUGGAACUUACCCUCCUCAGUACCGCCUCGUCCAGUCCACUAAAGAGGAGAACCCAUAAGACAUUACUGAUGAUGUCCCUCCACGUCAUGAGGACCCACCGUCUCAACCAUCACCCAUCCAUCGUCCAGUUCAUGCGGUGGCUUCAUACUCUGAUAUCUCUAAGCACCUUACUCGAUUUAAGCAGCAGUGUUUUCAGUGCUUUGAUCACAUUGAUGCUACUCUUCAUCAGAUUUGUCAGCACCUUCACAUCUCAUCGCCACCACCACCUCGCGAACCAUCCGGCGAUGCUGAUGUUUAAAGACUUUUUAUUUUUUAUUUUUAUUUCCACUUUUAUCUUUAUUUAUCUUCUUUAAGUAGUUUUUAUUUUAUUUUCCUUUAAUAUUAUUUCAAUUUUAGGUUUUAUAAUUUUUAUUGAAUAAUUUAUAGUUUUGGCUAUUUUAUUACGAGUAAUUAUGCUUCCUUAUAUUUCCUAAAGAGUUCUUGAUUUUAUCACAGUUAUAAAGAGCUCUAAAGCUCAUCAUCACUUAGGAACUAAAAAAUCACUGGAAAAGGUUCUCCACAACUGUCAAGUCCUGCUCGACCACGACCACAGCUACUACCAGAUAUAAUAUUCUGUUGGCGCAGGACUUAUGGACUAAUGAACCUCUACCACCACCGGAGUAUCCUCCUCCACUCUCAUCAUUGCCUUGGCUGAUUAUUCUCCAUAACUCCAAUUGAAGGAGUUCAUUCAUCAUUCAGGAAGUUUAACUUCUCUUCUUAUCUUAUGAGUAUUUAUCUAUAUUUUUCAGUAUAUCUAUCUUUGUACAUUGAGGGCAAUAUACAUCUUAAGUGUAGAGGGUCUUUUAUAUCAUUAUCAGAAAAAUCCCUGAAUUUUAUCUUGUUCUCAAAUCAUCUUCUCAUAUCAUUAUUAGAAUAAAAUUUGAUUAAUUUAUGAUUGUUAUUGAUAUGUCUUCAAUUAAAACAUAGGCAUUCAUGUAUUGAUUGUUUAAACUUUAAGGAAUUAGAUAAUCAAGCAGGAUAAGUUGAUUUUUGAGAAUUAAAAAUUUUUAGGUUGUUUCCCCAAGUUUAGGUAUUAUCUCGAGUUAAAAUUCACAGGGUUAACAUCAACAAGCCAUAAUUUCUGUAAGAUCUUGAGCCUUUAGAGCAACUAUUAUUUCUUUCAUGCUCACUGUUAUUAUUGAUAAUGAGUGUGUCAAUAUUGAUUUAUUAUUCUAGAACUUGCUUGAUUAUGCAUGUCAAGACCACACCCUUGAGUUAAUAUGUCAAUAUGAUAAAGGCACCUAGGUUUAACCCACUCACUCCAUAAAAGCAUACCUUCAUAAUUUACCCUUAGUGAACCCCUUUGAGCCUAACAAGCCAUUAAUUGAUUUACCCUCAAUGUUAACCCAUAACACAUUAUUGUUGAAAUCCCCUAAUUUGAUCCCUAUUUUUGUCGAGAUUUGAUUUGAAUUAUUGCAUAGCUAUGUUUUAUUCUUCGUUGCAAUAAUUAGCAAAGUCCUAUGUUAUUUCACUUGUUUAUUUCACUUGUUCCUAAAAAAAAAUACAAUACUUACUUACAUAUUAAUAGUAAUUCGUCAUUUUUGAGCUUAAGUGUUAAUUCCAUAUUCUAAGAAGAAGCUCACUCGUAUUCAACUUAUAAUUAGUUGUUUUUCUAGUUAGGUGAUUUUUUUAAUUCAAUCUCGAUUCUAACCUUUCCUUUUAGCUUGUGACCACACCCCCUAACCAAAGCCACGUUACAACCCUCUAAAGACCUUUUGAUUGAUGUAUCAUCUCAAUAUAUAGUGGUGGAGAUUUGAUUUUCUGCAAGCCUAUGGUAAUAACUUUUCAUAUUGACUAAUGAGUGCUUCAUUUAUUAUCCUUAAACACCUCGAGUGAUUUGAGUGAAUCUUUAGUGAGGAUGUUAAACUCCGUGAUAUUUUGAAUCAAAGGUAAUCACUUAGAUGAGGGGAGACACCUAUGUUUUCGUGAUGAAAUGCUCAACUUGGAAUGUUUGAAACUUUGAUAUUCUUCUAGUUGAAUUCUCCAUGUAUGAUUACUUAUGAUUUAUUUUAAGAUAUUAUUGAUAGAGAUUAUAGAUUGAGAAGAAUUUAUUUUGAUUGUGAGUUGAGGAUUUUGCUUGAGGACAAGCAAACGCUUAAGUGUGAGAGUUUUUGAUAAACCGCAAUUUAUACAUAUUUUUAUCCCAUGCUUAGCACAUUUAUAUAUGAUUUCUCCUUAGAUUUGGUGAAUUUGAUGCACCAAAUCCUUUAAUUUCAUGUUUUAUACUUAGGUGACCAUAGCAGAGUAAAAAGAGCGAGAAACAGGUCGACAACGGAGAAAAAUAGACCCACAUGGGAAAUCGACACGGCCUGGACUUCCUCACACGGGUAAGCCACACGGCCAUGUCCAUUUGGCAGGAUCGGCGUACAAUUUACACAGGUAGACUACAUGCCCACGAUUAUUUAGCAACCUUCACCACGGUUUGGAGCAAUCGCACACGGGCGUGUCACACAGGCGUGUCCCUGUCGAGCCCAAGUAAAGUCCUAUUCGAAAAAGGCCACUUUUGAUGGCUCUUAGGCAUUCUAAAGCCUAUUUAAACACCUGAGGAGGCAGUUAGAACGGGGGGACACAGAGUAGGAAGCAAUGAAUUACUCGAAAAAAGCCGAUUGAUCCAUCUCAGAAGCUGGAUUAUUCAUCAAGACUGAAGAUCUCUCUUCAAUUUCCAUUCAAGAGUUUUGGGUUUUCUUUAUGUUUUGUAUUCAUUAUUCUUCUAAGGGGAAUGAAACUUAAGACGAAUCUUGUUAUUAUUAUCUAAAUUAUAAGAUAAAUAUUUGACUUGUUCUUAAUUAUGUAUUCUUAAUUCUUGUCUUAAUAUUUCAGGAUAUUGAUUCAGGUUAAUGCGCUUAUUCAGAGGAGCAAAAGUCCCUGUCUAAGAGUAAAUUUGUCAUAAUUAAGUGGAGUUGAUUGCACGCCUAGAGAUAGGGUGACAAGAUUUUACCAGAUUAUGGUGAAACCUAAUAAGGGAUCCAUAGAUCGAGUAAAUGCAACACUAGGGCGUUAAUUACAAAGAGAUUUCAAUUAAUCAACCUAGGGUUAGAUGUUAUUAGUCUCGAGAGAGAUAAUAAUAUAACUUAGGGAUUUCUACGAAUCAAGUUAAAUGAACAAAUCGCCUGAUUCAGAGUCAAAUAACAAGUGAAUCUAGGUGGAUUUUUCCUUGGGUAUUGUCUUUAUUAAUCGAAUUUUCUAAAAAGUAUUUUCCCAAUUUUUAGGCUAGAUAAUAAAAAGAAAGUAAUUACUAGUACUCUUGGUUCCUUUGGGUUCGACAAUUCGGUCUUGUUAAAGCUAUACUACUGUUCGAUAGGUACACUUGCCUUCAUCGUGAUAAUAGUUGGUUUUAAGAACGAUCAUUUAUAAAUUAUUUAAAACUUAUCGCAAAUAUCAUAAAUCAGUAGUCGUUUUACAUGGAUUUAUCUCAUUAAAUGAAUGUCUCAGAUGGUUGACUAUUUUUUUCAGUUUCAAAAAAUGGUCAAAACUCAGUUUGGGAAAGAUAUUAAAAAUUUUCAAAGUGAUUGGGGUGGUGAGUUUCGUGCCUUCGCAUCAACUCUUGCUAUUCAUGGGAUACUUCAUCACCUCUCCCGUCCACAUACAUCCGAGCAGAACGGUAUAGCCAAACCAAAACAUCAAGACAUUGUUGAGAUAGGUCUUACUCUCUUGACCCAAGCUAAUAUGCCCAUGGAUUUCUGGGGUUACGUGUUUUGCAGUGUCGUUUAUCUCAUUAAUCGUCCACCUACCUUGGUUUUGAAAGGUCAAUCUCCGUAUUAAGUUCUUCAUGGUAGUGACCCUACAUAUGAUCAUUUACGGGUGUUUGGGUGUUAUUUCUUUCCAUACUUGCGUCUGUUUCUGCAACAGAACUUGGAUUUUUGUUCUCAGCCUUGCACAUUUUUAGGGUAUAGUUCUCAACAUAAAGGCUAUCACUGCCUCACACCAGAUGGUAAGGCCAUUGUCUCUUAUCAUGUUGUGUUUGAUGAACGUCGAUUUCUCUUUUUUUUUAUGUUGCAAACACCGUCCAGUCAGGUCCAUGUAUCUCUACAUAUGUUCCUAUUGCUCAGUCUUCAUCUGCCGCGCCACGGCAUCCUCGCUUGUUCAGCCCAUUAAGUCCUCUUGACUCUUACUCCUAAUUGUAGUUCCAAGACGUCUAUUUCAGUUGACUCUCCGACUGAAUUGGGUUCUACUCAUGAGGUGCACCGGCUCUUCACCUCAUCUCCUGAAUCACGUCAAUGCGACUCUACUACAAUUCCCUCGGUUAUUCCAUCUAUUUUUCUAGAGAAUACUCAUAACAUGAUUACUCGGUCUAAGGCUAGUAUUUCUAAACCCAAAGCUUUCUCUGUUGAAACUGUCGACUAUGAGCCACACACGAUUGAUGAGGCACUCGCUAGUAAGGAAUGGCAAUUAGUUGUCCAAGCUGAGUUUGUUGCUCUAAUGGCUAACUCUACCUGGGAGCUUGUUCCCUUACUUCAUUGUCGAAAAGUGAUUGGGUGUAAGUGGCUUUUUAAAAUAAAAAAAAUCCUGAUGGGGCUAUCACUUGGCACAAGGCUCAGCUGGUAGCAAUGGGUUGUUCUUAGGUACCUGGGUGUGAUUUCAAAGAAACCUUUAGUCUAAUGGUUACACCUACUACUAUUAGAAAAAUAUUGUCUAUUUCUGUUUCCAAUGGGUGAAAACUUCGUCAAAUCGAUGUGAAUAAUACCUUUUAAGAUGGUGAUCUCACUGACGAAGUGUUUAUGCAACAACCUUCAGGCUAUGUUCAGAUUGGUCCAUAUCGUGAGCUAUUGGUGUGUCGUCUGAAAAAGGAGUUGUAUGGAUUACGACAAGCUCCACGUGCCUGGUUUGAUAAAUUGAAACAUUUUUUCUACCAGAUUUGUGUUAUCCAAAUCUGAUGCAUCCCUGUUUGUUCGAGUUACGUACGUAUCCACUAUUUAUGUUCUAAUCUAUGUGGAUGAUAUUACCGUUACUGAAAGUACGACUGACGGUAUAAAUGACUUUAUUCAACAGUUACAUAAUAAGUUUUCCCUUAAAGAUAUGGGAGAUCUUCACUACUUCUUAGGUAUUCAAGUCACUCGGUCAUCCACUAGAAGUCUUCAUUUGUGCCAACGCAAAUACAUCUAGGAUCUGCUUGACAGGAGUUCCUGGGCUAACGUGAAAAGUGUUCACACACUGAUGGUUAGUUCUUUUACAUUGUCUAAAGAUGAGAAAAAUCACCUCGUUGAUCCCACUAAAUAUAGGAGCCUUGCCGGAGCAUUACAAUAUGUGGUCUUAACUCGGCCUAAUAUUGCUUAUGCGGUAAAUCGUGUUUGUCAAUUCAUGCAUAUGCCUACUACGGUACAUUUGGUGGCUUUGAAAAUAAUCUUGCGCUAUUUACGUGGCACUAUUGAUCAUGGGUUAAUUUUUCGUCCGUUCGACAGAUUGUCUUUAGUUGGCUAUGCUGAUUCCAACUGGGGACUGGAUUUUGAUGAUCGUCAGUCAACCAUAGACUAUUGUGUGUAUUUUGGACAUACAUCCAUCUUUUUGUGUUCUAUGAACCAACAAGUUAUUUUUCACUCCACGGCUGAUGCGAAGUAUCGUAGUCUAGCAGUAGCUACCAGUGAUGUUACUUGGUUAGCCUCUCUGUUAACGAAUUUAAAAAUUUGUUCUGCAAAUCCACUUACUAUUUGGUGUGACAAAUCUAGUGCAAUAGUGGUUGCUGCUAAUCCGGUUUUACACUCCAAAUUUAAACAUGGCGAGCUUGAUCUAUUUUUUGUUCGCGAAAAUGUCACUAAUGGUUCUCUCAUUGUUGGCGAAGUUCCGGCAUGUGAUCAGGUUGCUAGUAUUCUCACAAAACCAUUGUCCAUCUCUACUUUUGCUAGGUUUCAUAGUCUGCCUCAAGUCUUACCUCUUGAGAAGCUGGAUGAAGCCGGGUGAAUAUUAGAGUAUAGACUCUAUUAGUCUGUUACCAUUUUGUUAUACAGGCUAGAAUAUUGUUAGUAACCAGUUAGCAGCAAUUAGUCAUAGCAGUUAGUCAUACAAGUAUAAAUUCUAUUUAUGUAUAGUUCAAAGGUAAGCUAAUAAUACCAGAAGAGAUUUAACGUGUUCAUUCUACUUUCUUUGUUAUUCUUCAUAAUACAGUUGUUAACAGGCUUGAUAUCAUCUCUUAGAGAAAACUAGGAGAGAUAAGAGUAAGAGUAUGAGCAAACUAUGGAUAAGGCUCUACCAUAAUACCUUAGAUGCAGUUAAAGUAAGAGUAAGAGCCAACUUGUUUGGCUUGAUAGCAUCCCCUUAUAGAAAAAGCUCUACCGCAUGGCAUUAGAGCAAUAAAAGUAACACUUAAUUUCUUGGUUGAUAGCAUCUCGUAGGGGAAAAAGGUUUACCAUGUGACAUGAAAGUAAUUAAAGUAAGAUUAAGAGCUAACUUGUUUGUCUUAAUCGCAUUGUUUAAGAGAGAUCCAAAUAAAUUUACUCAAAAUAUGUUAAUCAAAUAAUGCAAAUUACAAUGUUUUGUCAAUUUUUCCUUUAAUUGUAACUGGGUUAAAGUUGGUAGUUGUAACUGGUACUAAUAGAAUAGAUUUGGUAGAAAUGGUUGAAAGCAACAUAAGCAAAGAUGACUUUGAUGUCAUUGUAUUGACCACGUGGGAACUAUAGAAUGUAGAGAAUAGUAUGGUGAUUGGCAUCAGAAUGUUGCUAACUUUGAGGACAGUAGAUAAGGAUGGAUCCAAAGGGGCUGUGGGCGGCCCCCUUGAAAUUUUCAAAUUUUUGAAUUUAUAUAUAAAUUAUCAUGUAUUUUAGAUUUGGUGUCCACAUUGUAUAACAUUCACCCCCUUUGCCAAAUUGUAUUUCAUAUCAUUCGCCCCCUUAAACCAUAAGGUUAUACUUUAUAUUAACAAAGUAUUUUCCAUUUUUUUUAAUUAUAUAAAUUUAAUAAUAACAAUAAUAAUAAAAUAUUAAUGUAUGAUAGGCAUUGAAAGACUAAACUUAUAGGUCCAAUUUGGACUUUAAAGCCAAAUUCUAUAAUUAAUUAAUUGAUUUGGCUCAUACCUAUACAUAUUAGGUUAGCGACUUUCUUGUAUUUUGAUUUGUAUGUCUUCUUAAGGAAUUAUCUUCCUUUGGUAAAGUGUUGACACUACCAAGAGAAAAAGAAAGGAUUUUGAUGACGAGACUAAGAGUAUAGAGCAAAAAUAUACAAAUUAUCUUCCUCUUGGCUCCUUAUGCAAAAAACCUCUCGGUAAAUUUUUUGCAUAAAUUAUGUUCUUUAUUUAUUUGACUUAUUUUUUUUAUUUUUUCCUAAUAUAUUUUGUUUAAUAUAUUAUUAAAAUCAUCAGGUUUUUCGAUUAAAUAAUGGUCAAUAAAAAGAUCGAAUCUAUUUUUUUAAAAAAAAGGUGUCAGAAAGCAAUAGUGAUCAACCAGUUCCUUAACCUUCUGUUAUUCGUGAAGAAAAACCAAAUAUUGGAUAUUCCCAAGCUCCUGAAUGAAAUAUUAGGUCUUAUCAAGCCCAAACUUUUGAAUGCGAUAUGGAGUCUUCCCCAGUUCUUAAACUAGAUUGUUACACUCCUUACCUGAUCCGAUCACCAAAUCCAUGUAGAGAGUACCACAACUUAAACCAUAUGAAUUGAAUAAUAAAUAUUUGAAAUUUAUUAAAGUAUCGAGUUCUUGGUGUAACCCUCAGUAUAAUAAUAUGAAACAAUCAAAUCAAUGAUACGCCAGGAACAAACAUUUUUAGGAAAAACACAUGGCGGAAACCUUACAAAAGUUUAUAAGUUUAUAUGAAAUGUAAGAUGAGUUAAUCCCAUACAAUAGUUUCAAGUGCAUUUUUGGCAGUUAAAACAACACUCUAAAACUAUUUGGUGUAGAUGCCAAUGAGACAAUCAUGUGGAAUAAGAUAUAGUAGCAUAAACACAUACAUCACUUACCAUGUCAUUAUAACAUAUACUAACCACAUAAACAAAUUUCUCGAGCUGCGAACGAACAAGUUUACCCAAACAUCUGGGGUUGGUAGAUAGCUUAUCAGAAAAGCCCUCCAAAUCCUAGAGUUCACCAAAACCUGGAGUUCGCCAAAUAGAGAUUCCCAUAGAAUACGCCAAACACACAACCAAAAAACAAAUACUCUACUAACUUACUUAUUUUUUAUUCUUAGCAUAAACAACUAUGCGCCAAAAAGUAACUUGAUACAUUAUCCAUCAGGCGGGUUGUUACAAUUCUCCCUCACUUAGAAAAUUUUGUCCUCAAAAUUCUUAACGGUGAAUAACUGAGGAUAUUGUUCUUUUAUUGAACUCUCUCUUUCCCAAGUGGAUUCUUUUUUAUUGUGAUUUCUCCAUAAUACAUUAACAAAAGGAAUUCUUUUUCUUCUCAACUUUUUUACCUCCCUUGCUAAUGCGAACAGGUUCUUCUUCAUAGGAUAUGUUUGGCUCCUUUUCUAAUGCUUUGACUUGUACCACAUGAUCUGGUUUGGAUUGAUAUUUUCUUAACACGAACACAUUAAUCACAUUGUGUAUCUUUGAUAACUCUAGUGGCAACACCAAUCUGUAUGCCACUGGACCAACCAGUUCCAAAAUCUCAUAUGGUCCUACGAAAUGCAGACUUAAUUUCCCUUUUUAUUCUAACCUUAUGAUAUUCUUCCAAAGAGAAAACUUCAUAAAUACAUUGUCACCCACUUCGAAAGAGAUUUCUUUCCUUUUUAGAUCAACAUAAGCUUUCUGACGAUCUUAAGUUACUUUCAGAUGAUUUCAAAUAAUAGAGACUUUCUCUUCUGUUUCUUGUACUAAAUCAAAACCAACUAUUUUCCUUUCACUGAGUUCCAUCCAACAGGUGGGAGAUCUACGCUUUCUUCCAUACAAAGCUUCAAAUGGUGAUAUUUCUAGAUUGGCGUGAUGACUAUAAUUAUACACAAACUUUGGCAAAGAAAGAUAUCUUUCUCAAUUCAUUCUGAAAUCUAUAAUACAACUUCUGAGCAUGUCUUCCAAAACUUGAAUUACUCUUUCAAAUUGUUCACCUGAUUAGGGAUGAAAGGCAGUACUGAAUCAUAUCUUGGUUCCUAACGAUUCUUGUUGUUGUCUUCAAAAUCUUGAUGUAAACAUUAGGUCUCGAUCUAAAACUACGGAUGUUGGAAUCCCAUGAAGACAUACAACUUCAGAAACGCAGAGCUUAGCCAACUUUUCCAAUGAGUAAUUUGUGCGGGCAAACAAGAAAUAGACUGACUUAGUAAGUCGAUCUACAAUUGCGCAAACUGAAUUCUUCUUUGAAAGGCUGAAAGGGAGAGCCAAAACAAAAUCCAUGGUGAUGUUAUCCCACUUCCACUUAGGUAUCUCUAAAGGGUACAACUUGCCUAAGGGAACCUGAUGUUCUGUUUUAAUCCGCUGACAUGUCAAAGAAAUGGAGAUGUACUCUGUUAUUUCUUUCUUCAUUCCAGGUCACCAAUACAAACUUCUCAAAUUACGAUACAUUUUAUGUAAUGCUCUCAACCCGACUCGAUAUGUCGAGUUUGGAUCUCGGGUAUUACUAUACACAGUACUUAGUAAAAUAUCAAAAUAGCUGACAAAUACUCUUUACUAAAAACAUUUUCUUAUUAUUUUAACCGAAAGAGUAAAUAUUUAAUAACAAGGGUAAAUAUUAGAAAUAAAAUAAAUUAUUACAUCAGACUUGGUACAACUGAUUAUAGUAUAAAAUUUUGUUAAAGACAGACUCUUGGGGAAUAACCCUAAUCUAUGCCACUUUUCCACUAUAUACAUAAUAACCCACUUCAGCACUAUCUUGGCAUACUCCUAGCAUCGUCACUCCUAACGCAUUCUCUACCCAUACACCUAAAAACAACAACAUUAUAAGCUCAAGAGAACUUAGUGAAUUUUAUCCCAAAAAUACCUUGGCGAGUACUUUAAUUAUUUGACUAACAUCUGUGCGCCAUCUAUCUUUUUAAACCACCUUCUUCUGAAUCAGACGGAUACUAUUACAGAUUCGACUUUCACUUAUACGCCAGCUAUCAUACUCUUAACACACUCACUUAUUCUAGAACAGUUUUUCACAUAUAUUAAUCAUUGACAGAUACAUACAUUUUUGGUGAAUACUUACGCAGAUCUAAAUACCAUCAAACUACUAAUCAAAUCAUACAUUGAUUCGAUACCAUACAAACUCCCAUUGAUAAUGUACUACACAAUUUAUUCAAAUGAAUUUUCCACUACUUUGUUACAGGACCCCAGAAAAUCAUCAUAACAAUAACUCAAUUUCCAUAUGAUUUCAAAAAAGGAUAUAAUACAACCCAAAUAUGGCGAAUUCCAGACAACUCAGAUUCAACAACUGUAUAACAUAGACAAAAUCACAUUGAUAAUUUCUUAUGUCCCAAAUAACUAUGAAUACGUCCAUAUUCAAUACUAACAGAUAAUCAUGACGGAUACCCUUCUUAUACAUAUAUGCAUUUCUUUUCUAAAAAUCUCUUAAGACUUACUCAGUUAUAUCACAGAUCUUAUUCAACCUUUAACUUCAGACGUAUCAUAAACCUAUCAGAUCAAUAUCUGUCACAAAGAAAUUGGCAUUUACCCAGAUUUUACAAUAAAGGCAGAUAAUCAUAUUAUAGUAGACAAACUUAACUGAAAGUGCUACAAAGGCCAAACAAAAUAUGCCAUAAAGGCUUCAUACAAAAUCAUGUGUUUACUAUCUCGACGGAUGAUACAUGAUAUUCGUGACAGGUUUUAAAAAUUUAUAAUUAAUCGUUCUUUAAAUUAACUAUUAUCACGAUGAAGGCAAGUGUACCUCUCGAACAGUAAUAUAGCUUUAGCAAGACCGGAUGGUCGAACCCAAAGGAACCAAGAGUACUAGUAAUUGCUUUCUUUUUAUUAUCUAGCCUAAAAAUUAAGGGAUUUAUUUAUCUAAUUAAUUAACUAAACUAAGGGUGCACAGAAAGAAAAUUGGGGAAAAGCUUUUGGGAAAACUCGAUUGAUUAAGACAAUACCCAAGAAAAAAUCCACCUAGACUUCACUUAUUAUUUGACUCUAAAUCAGACGAUUUAUUCAUUUGACUUGAUCCGUAGAAAUCCCUAAGUUAUAUUAUUAUCUCUCUUGAGACUAAUAACGUCUAACCCUAGGCUGAUAAUUGAAAUCUCUUUCUAAUUAACACUCUAGUGUUGCAUUAACUCGAUCUAUGGACUCCCUUAUUAGGUUUCACCCUAAUCCAGUAAAAUCUUGUCACCCUAUCUCUAGGCGUGCAAUCAACUCCGCUUAAUUAUGAAAAAUUUACUCUUAGAUAAGGACUUUUGCUCCUCUAAAUAAGCACAUUAACUUGAAUCAAUAUCUUGGAAUACUAAAACAAGAAUUAAGAACACAUAAUUAAGAACAAGUCAAAUAUUUAUCAUACAAUUCAGAAAAUAAUAACAAGAUCCGUCUUAGGUUUCAUUCCCCUUAGGUAUUUUGAGGUUUUAGUUCAUAAUUAUGAAAGAAAACAUCUCAAAAGAAUAAUGAUAACAAAACAUAAAGAAAACCCAAAACUCCUGAAGGAAAUUGAAGGGAGAUCCUCAGUCUUGACGAUGAAUCCGGCUUUUGAAAUGGAUCAAUCGGCUUUCCUUGAGUAAUUCAUUGCCUCCUACUCCCUAUGUAUCUUCUAAGUGCCUCCUCAGGUGUUUAAAUAGGCUUUAUAAUGUCUAAAAGCCCUCAAGAGUGGCCUUUUCUGAAUAGGACUGAACUUGGGCUCGAUAGGGACACGCCCGUGUGACACGCUCGUGUGCAAUUGCUUCAGACCGUAGUCAAGGCUACUAAAUAGGCAUGGGCGUGUGGUCUACCCGUGUGAGGAAGUCCAGGCCGUGUUGAUUUCUGAUGUUGGUCCAUUUUCUUCAUUUUCAGCCCGUUUCUCGCUCUUUUUACUCUCUUAUGCUCACCAAAGUAUAAAACAUGAAAUUAAAGGAUUAGGAGCAUCGAAUUCACCAAAUCUAAGGAGAAUUCAUCCAAAAAUAUGCUAAGCAUGAGGUAAAAAUAUGUAUAAAUUAUGGUUUAUUAAAUACCCCCACACUUAAGCGUUUGCUUGUCCUCUAGCAAAAUCCUCAACUCAAAAUCAAAAUAAAUUCUUCUUAACUUGUAACCCCUAUCAAUAAUAUCUCAAAAUAAACCAUAAGUAAUCAUGUAUUGAGAAUUCAACUAGAAAAGCAUUAAAGUCUCAAACAUUCCAAGUCGAGCAUUUUAUCACGAAAACAUAGGUGUUUCCCCUCAUCUAAGUGAUUACCUUUGAUUCAAAAUAUCACAAAGUUUUAACAUCCUCACUAAAGAUUCACUCAAAUCACUCGAGGUGUUUAAGGAUAAUAAAUGAAGCACUCAUUAGUCAAUAUGAAAAGUUAUUACCAAAGGCUUGUAUGAAAGUCAAAUCUCCACCACUAUAAAUUGAGAUGAUACAUCAAUCAAAAGGUCUUUAGAGGGUUGUAAAGUGGCUUUUGUUAGGGGGUGUAGUCACAAGCUGAAAGAAAGGUUAGAAUCAAGAUUGAAUUGAAAAAUUACCUAACUAGAAAAAUAACUAGUCAUUACUUGAAUACAUGUAAACUUCUUCUCAAAAUAUGAAAUUGAACACUUAAGCUCGAAAACAACGAAUUACUACUAAUAUAUGUAUGUAUUAUAAUUUUUUUUAAGAACAAGUCAAAUAAUAUAGGUUAAUUAUCAAAAAUAAAACAUAGCUAAGUAAUUUAUUCAAAUUAAAUCUCGACAAAAAUUGGGAUCAACUUGAUUGAGGGGAUUUCAACAGUAAUAGGUUAUAGGUUAAUAUUGAGGGUAAAUCAAUGGAUAGUUUGUUAGGCUCAAAGGGGUUCACUAAGGACAAAUUAUGAAGGUAGGCUUUUGUGGAGUGAGUGGGUUAAACCUAAGUGCCUUUAUCAUCUCGACAUAUUAAAUCAAAUGGUGUGGUCUUGACAUGCAUAAUCAAGCAAGUUCUAGAAUAACAAAUCAAUACUGACGCACUCAUAAUAAAAGUGAGCAUGAAAGAAAUAAAAUAUGAUCUAAAAGCUUAAAAUCUCACAAAAAAUUAUGGCUUUUUGAUGUUGAACCUGUGAAUUUCAACUCAAGAUAAUACCUAAACUUGGGGAAACAACCUAAAAAUUUUAAAUACUCAAAAAUCAACUUAUCAUGUCUGAUUUUCUAAUUCCUUCAAAGUUUAAACGGUCAAUGCAUAAAUACCUAUGUUUUAAUUCAAGACAUAUCAAUAAAAAUCAUAAAUUAAUCAAAAUUCAUUCUAAUAAUGAUAUGAGAAGAUUAUUUGAGAACAAGACAAAAUUUAAGGAUUUUUUUGAUAAUGAUAUAAAGGCCCCCCACACUUAAGAUGUACAUUGCCCUCAAUGUACAAAGUUAGAUUUACAACGAUAUAGAUAUAAGAUCAUAAGAUAGGGAGAGAAGUGAAACUUCCUGAAUAAUGAAUGAACUCCUUGAAUUGGAGUUAUGGAGAAUAAUCGGCAAAGGCAAUGAUAAGAUUGGAGGAGGAUACUUCGGUGGUGGUAGAGGUUGGGUUCCACAACCUCAGUGUCCAGCGAAGAAGUUAUCGUGGUGGUCGAGCAAGACAUUACAGUUAUGGAGAACCUUUUCCAGUGGAGUUUCAAGUUUCUAAGUGAUGGUGAGCUUUGGGGCUCUUAGUAACUGUGAUAAAAUCAAGAACUCUUUAAGAAAUGUAAGGAAGCAUAAUUACACGUAAUGAAAUAGCUGAAACUAUAAAUUAUUCAAUAAAAAUUAUAAAACCUAAAAAUGAAAUAAUAUUAAAGGAAAAUAAAAUAAAAAGUACUUAAAAAUGUAAAUAAAAAUAAAAUAUAAAAAGUUUUUAAACAUCGUCAUCGCUGGAUGGUUCGCAAGGUGGUGGUGGUGAUGAGAUGUGAAGGUGCUGACAAAUCUGAUGUAGAGUAGCAUCAAUGUUAUCAAAGCGCUGAAAACACUAUUGCUCAAAUCAAUAAGGCACUCAGAGAUGUCAGAGUAUGAAAUCGCCGCAUGAACUGGACGAUAGAUGGGUUGUGGCUGAAAUGGUGGGUCCUCAUGACGUGGAGGGACAUCAUUAGUAAUUCCUCCGGGUCCUCCUCCUCGGCUGACUGGAUGAGGCGGUACUGAGCAGAAUCGAUUCCAUGUCAUUUCUCGAUCAUCCUCAUAUGUAGCAUGCUUGAAAUACCCUGUGGGGACAUCUGGCCGAUGAGAGUGAGCGAGAAUGAUUGUGCCACUGUGUUAAAGAGUCCAAAGUGCCGAAUCAAUCGAGUCACAUAGGGGCCAAUAGAGAUGACUCCCUUCCUAUGCCGUUCCGUCUGAUGGCGAAUGGCGAAGGCAAUGAAAUAGGCGAGGUCGAAGAUGUGCCCAUUCGCCAUGCUCCAUAAAAAGUAGGCAUCGUGAGUGUUGACAAUGCCGGUGCUCUCUUGUCUUCCUGUCAGAGUGUGGGCCAAGAGGGCGUGUAGGUACCUCAAGGAUGGAGGGAGAGUUGAUGUUUUGGAACGGUUAGGGUCGUAGGUGGCCGAGGGAGGGACGAGGGCCUCCAGCACUUCGAGUGAGAGUAAUGGAUGUGGCGAUGAAGGAUGUCGAGUUCGUUGUAGUCCAUGAACUCCUCCGUAUACAGCCCUAGUACAAUUUUGAACUCCGGUACGCUCAAUUGGCACACUAAACCACCAAGACGAAACUGGACCGUUGUAGGAUCGUCGAACUCUGUCAUAACGGUUUGGAAGUGAAAGGUCGAAUAGAGUUCCAGUGUGAGCUUAAGGUAUAUCGGCUUGAUGAUCCCAAAGAAGAGCUCCCAUGGAUCAGUCGACAGAAGGGCUCUGACCGCGUCAACCAGUUGGACUUGUUCAAGUGCGGCCCAUUCAAUGCAGCGGCCCACACCUAAGGGUCAGGCCCGAAGUAUCUAAAAGAGUUCUUCCUAAGGUCCUAAGGGAAACUAAAUAAAGGGGUGCCUGAUCUCCACGGUAGGACCCAAGGAUGACACUGCUCAUUUCCUUUUCUUUGAAGCGGGGACAGCGAUUUUCUUACCAUGGUUUGACAUGAUAUCUGCAAUGGCAAGACGAAAAAAAUAAUAAAUAAAAAAGUAAACUUACUCUCCAACAAUAACAUGAAAAAACAUAUGCAAUGCAUGUUAAAACUAAUAGAGAUACUUUAUAGGAGUCAUGUACUAAAGAACAACUACGCUGAAAAAUAACCCAAUCAGAUAUAUUAAGUCAUUACUACGAAUAGGAAUAUGAUAAUAAUGCCUAGUGAAUGAAUGCAUAUGGAAAUGAUGAUAUGGAAAAUAGAAUGAAGUCCAUGGCAACACAAGAAUGGUGGUAUCAUAAUGCAUCAACUAAGAUAGCAAGAAACAAAGAGCAUAAGCAAGGCUAUUAUUAGAACUAUGAAGAUUAACAGUCAAAAUAAAACAAGAAAAAUCGAAUUCAUAAACGAAAUGAAGAGAAAAGAAUGGACAAACGCAAAAGCUUGGUAGAGGGAGGAGCUUGGGCCGUCGUUAGUGGUGUUGUGGUUGGCGCACGGGCGUGGCAGGAAGGCGUGGGCAAGAGUUACGGCGGCUACAGUUAGGGAUUUUGGGGAAGGGGAUGAUGAAUAUAAGGGGUUUAUUCAACUCGUGUUUAUCGCGAUUUUUAAAUUUGGGCACGUCUGAAAUUCGUCCCACGCCGAUGUCCUUUGGGCGUGUUGGUGCACAUGGCCGUGUCGUACGGUCGUGUCCUACUUCGUUCACUUCUCCCACGCUCGUGUGUAUAAGCACACGCCCGUGUUGUUUGAUCAGUCUUGAGCACGGUUGGUGGGCACGGGCGUGUCGCACACUUGUGCUAAAUUCUCAGUUUCAACCACGAUUUCAAGACACGGGCGUGUCACACGCCCGUGUUGAUUUGAAAGACUCACCCACGGCCACGUUACACAGCCGUGGCAACUUAUCACAUCUCGUGUUAAGCAAAAAUUUUUCCCUGUUUCCACACGGUCGUGUCGCAAGGCCGUGUCUCCUCCCGUAGUGUGAGCACGGCCUAAGGCACACCUGUGUGCCUCACCGUGUGAAUUAGAAAACCAGUAUUUCAAUGACUCAGUUAGUGAUUAGAUGUUAAAAACUAAAAUUUUAAAGAAGGUAACACUAUUAGUGCUCGGGUUACCUCGCGAAAAGCAUUUAUUUAUAGUCUAAGCUCGACUUACCUCUCUGUUGCAUAGUCAUGGUAGUGCAAGGAGUUUACACUCCUCAUCCCUGCUAUCAAUUUUAUCAAAAUAAGGUUUUAGACAAGUACUAUUUACCUUAAACGUACCGAAUUUGGGAUGAAUUACCUCGACUGUGCCGUAUGGGAAAAUACUAAGUACCGUAAGAGGGAUUUCUCCAUUAGGUUCAAAGGUGGCAAUCCGAAGGUCUGCUGCAUCUAAUAGUACUUUGUUUCCAACCUUAAGUUGAGUUGGAGAAAUAUUGAGCUCGUCAUGGCAUGGUUUUUUUUAUCGUGUGAUUUCGAUUUCUGUGUCUGCCAUUCAUCUAGUUCCUCAACCUGUAGCCUUGUUCUUCAUAGAUGGGUUCUUUGUCGUUAUUUGAAUGUGGCUCAAGUGUGUUUCUCGAAUGUGUUUCCUGCACAGAGGGUUUCACCACAUGAUCAGUACUGAUAGAAUUUCGAGCUUGAGGAGUAAUUGAUUCAUCACCCAUACGAAGUGUGAGUUUACUUGUGCCAACAUCAAUUAUAGUUUUAGCAGUUGCUAGAAAGGACCGUCUUAAAAUUAAAGGUGCGUCGCUAUCCUCUUCUAUGUCUAGAACAACAAAAUCAAUUGGGAAAAUAAAUUUAUCGAUUUUUACCAAUACAUCUUCAAUGAUACCCCUGGGAAAUCUAAUAGUUUUAUCAGCUAACUGAAUACUCAUCCUAGUUUGUUUAGGUUUCCCAAUACCUAGUUGUUUAAACAUUUUAUAAGGCAUGAAAUUGAUACUAGCCCCUAAAUCAGCCAAAGCGUUAUUAACAUCUAAGCUACCAAUUAAAUAAGGAAUCGUAAAACUCCUUGGAUCUUUCAAUUUGUUGGCCAUGAUGUCUCGUUGAGAGCACCAAAAAUAUCCUAUUCUCUGUAAAAUAGUAAAAAUAACAGUAAAAGGGAAGUAGGGUCGAAUCCUCAGGGACCGGAUUGUACAAAUGCUCGUUUCUUGAAAUCCUGGACAAUUUCUUGGCCAAGAAAACCUGCGUUCCUGAAAAAUAAAAAAAAUAAAAUUAAGAAUCUGGAAAAAAAAAUAGAAUUUAAAGGGAAUUGAAAUUGCGAAAUUAAAUAAAUUGUCGAAAUUAAAAUGAGGAAAAAUAAAUAGAGUUGGGAAAAGAGAAAGUUUCUUAUGUGGCGAGAUUCCAGGCUCCGGUUGUCUCGUUCCGCCUUGGGUUCAAUCCUUGGCCUUUAAGUAACCCUUCCCAACUCAAGUAAGCCAGUUAUAGUGGAAGAGGAUGCCUACGACCACCAGCUCCAAAGAUUAGACUUACGAUUUUUAGGGAACCUGACUCUAACCAGUAAUCUAUGCUAGAUCAACGCUUCUCAAUGGCGAAUCCCAAGUCAUUUUGUCUCUUUGGCUCGCCAACCUUUGACGCAGUAAAUUAACAAACCGACUGUGCAAUCCUUUCAAAACAUACAAAGCGGUCGCCUUUGCAUAUGCUGAAAAGCUUACUUCUUAAGGGCCAUGGACGGAAGCGUCAGCCCGUAGUGCGGAGAAACGAUGAAUACUUGGCGAGAAGGCUAAGUACGGGUUCUAGGCCUCAAAAACCCUUUUUUGGGGAAUAUUGACAACCUUCAGCUAGAUAGGUUUUAAUGGCUCAUGAUAAUGGUGGAAAAGGAAAUAAAUAUAAAAAUAGAAAAUAAAAUUUUAUUCAAAGAAAAUAUGAAGAAACAAAAGCCUAGACUUUUAGGGGGAGAGUGUUUAUAGAAAAAGAUGAACACCCCAAAUAGAGUCACUUCACCCCCUAUUUAUAGUGCUAGGGAGAUAAUCUAAUUUAACUUAAAUUCUAAAAAGAUAAAUACAUUUAAUUAAAGAUAAUUAAAAUAAAAUCCUAAAAUUAAAUAAUCCUAAUAAUUAUCUUAAUAAUAAUUAUUCUAAUAUAAAUAAAAUGGAGUCUUAUAAAAUAAAAUCUCUUCUUUUUGAGUUUUCAGUCCUUGUGUCAUCCAUGCUCGCACUUUUGGAACAAUCUUUUUCCUGUGUCGCAUAUCAGCCCAUUGUGUCUCCAAAUUCGCACUUUUGUCCCUUAAUUUUUCUUUUUGCCUCCAAAUCAGUCCUUUAAAGAUAAAAAGACAUAAAUAGCUAAAAUUAGUAUGAUCAAGCUCAGAAUAAAUAUAUAAUUAGCACAUAAAAACAUGACAUUCUAGAGUGUUAUCAGGCCAGCUUAUUUUGCAGAAUGGCUGAGCAAACUGCAUUCAUCUCCACAUGCGAUGCCUCAUCUAACUUCCGUUUAUUCGCUAAAAGCUCCUUUAAAAAUUUGACUGUGUUCAGCAUCUACGAAAAAGCUUCAAUAAACGGUAAGUUAAUAUGUAAUUUCUUUAAAAUUUUAAGGAAUUUACCGAAUUGUUCGUCUGAGUGGUCUUUCCUUGUCGUAUUUGGGUAUAGUACACGUGGUUUGUACUCUUUACUUACCUGUUUUUGCUCAUUAUGGUCCACCUUACCUCUACCUUUACUUACCACAAUUUCUUGCCUUAGUUCUGGUUGAGGUGCAACUAACCCUUCCUCAUCUUGAAUGGUAAUCGCAUUGAGCUAUUCCCUUGGAUUAGAUUUAGUGUUACUCAACAGGCUACCUUGUGGUCGUUCAGAUACCAAUUUAGCAAGCUGGCUUAUCUGAGUUUUGAGCCCUUGAAUCGACACUUGUUGAUUCUUAAGUGCUUUCUUGGUAUUCUAAAAACAAGUUUCUAACACUGAGAUGAAUUUUGUUAGCAUCUCCUCAAGGUUCAGCUUUUUCUCUUGUUGGUAAGGUGGUUGUUGGAAGCCUGGAGGUGGUGGGGGUCUCUGAUUUCCUUGGCCUCCCCAUGAAAAAUUUGGAUGGUUCCUCCAACCUGCAUUUUAAGUGUUACUAUAAGGAUUAUUUUAAGAUCGAGGAUUAUUACCCAUGUAAUUCAACUGCUCAUUUUCCAUACUGUGGCCAUAAGGUGGGUAUUCUGAAUUGCUUGAUCCACCUCUACUUGCUUCGCACUGCAUUACUAGGUGAACCUGUGAAUAACCAAAUAACCCGUCAAUUUUCUUAUUUAAUAGUUCUACCUGACUAGAGAGCAUCAUGACUAAAUCAACGUUAAAAACGUCAGUUGUUUUAGUCGGCUUUGUCCUCAUUACUUGCCACUGAUAAUUAUUCAGUGAGAUCUCUUCUAUAAAUUCAUAAGCAUCUUCAGAUGUCCUAUUAUUGAUAGUCCCACCAGCGGAUGCAUCGAUAAGUUGCCUUGUUGAGGGGUUUACACCGUUGUAAAACGUCUGAACUUGCUGCCAUAGAGGCAACCCAUGAUGAGGGCACCUUCUCAACAGAUCUUUGUAUCUCUCCCAUGCAUCAUAAAGCGUUUUUAGAUUCAUCUGCAUAAAAGAAGAGAUAUCACUACGUAAUUUAGUCAUUUUAGCCGACGGAAAAUAUUUUAAUAAGAAUUUUUUAUUGUCAUUUGUUCCCAAGUAGUGAUUGACACUCGUGGUAACGAGUUCAACCACUGUUUAGAUUUGUUCCUCAAUGAAAAGGGAAAUAACCGAAGACGAAUGGAAUCAUCAGAAAUGCCAUUAAUUUUAAAUGUGUCGCAAAACUCUAGAAAAUUUGCCAAGUGAUUGUUCCUCAUCCUGCAAACUAUCAAACUAAACAAAUUGUUGUAUCAUUUGAAUUGUGUUAGGUUUUAGUUCAAAAUUAUUUGCAGCAACAGCUGGCCUAACUAUACUUGACUCAGUUCCUCUUAAAGUAGGUUUAGCAUAAUCAUACAUAGUACGCGGAGUAGGAUUCUGAUUAGCAGCAAUCGCAAGAGGUAGCGGAUUUUCCUGAUUUUCAGUCAUCUCCUCAGUUGUGGUGGAAAUAUCGUCCUCUUGCUCUUUCUCUGUGUAUCUUAGGCUUUGCCUUAUUUCUCUUCGAUUUCUGUGAGCUGUGCGAUCGAUCUCACUAUCAAAAAGUAAUGGUCCUGACGGGUUUCUUCUAGUCAUGCACUAUAAAAACUUGCCAUAAGCGAAUAAACGAAAAAUAAGAAUAAGAAAAUAAAAUAAAAAUUCAAAUUGCAACAAAAGUAAAAUGGCUAAAGUAAUAAAAAUUGAGUGUUCCUAAUAUCUUCGUUCCCCGGCAACAGCGCCAAAAACUUGAUACGUGAUAUUCGCGACAGGUUUUAAAAAUUUAUAAUUAAUCAUUCUUGAAACUAACUAUUAUCACGAUGAAGCCAAAUGUACCUAUCGAACAGCAAUAUAGCUUUAGCAAGACCGGAUUGUCAAACCUAAAGGAACCAAGAGUAUUAGUAAUUGCUUUCUUUUUAUUAUCUAGCCUAAAAAUUAAGGGAUUUGUUUAUCUAACUAAUUAACUAAACUAAGGGUGCACAGAAAGAAAAUUGGGGAAAAGCUUUUGGGAAAACUCAAUUGAUUAAGACAAUACCCAAGGAAAAAUCCACCUAGACUUCACUUGUUAUUUGACUCUGAAUCAGACGAUUUAUUCAUUUGACUUGAUCCGUAGAAAUCCCUAAGUUAUAUUAUUAUCUCUCUCGAGACUGAUAACGUCUAACCCUAGGUUGAUUAAUUGAAAUCUCUUUCUAAUUAACACCCUAGUGUUGCAUUAACUCGAUCUAUGGACUCCCUUAUUAGGUUUCACCCUAAUCCGGCAAAAUCUUGUCACCCUAUCUCUAAGCGUGCAAUCAACUCCGCUUAAUUAUGAAAAAUUUACUCUUAGACAGGGACUUUUGCUCCUCUGAAUAAGGGCAUUAACUUGAAUCAAUAUCUUGGAAGAUUAAACCAAGAAUUAAGAACACAUAAUUAAGAAUAAGUCAAAUAUUUAUCAUACAAUUCAGAUAAUAAUAACAAGAUCCGUCUUAGGUUUCAUUCCCCUUAGGUAUUUAGGGGUUUUAGUUCAUAAUUAUGAAAGAAAACAUCUCAAAAGAAAAAUGAUAACAAAAUAUAAAGAAAACCCAAAACUCCUGAAGGAAAUUGAAGGAGAUCCUCAGUCUUGACGAAUAAUCCAGAUUUUGAGAUGGAUCAAUUGGCUUUGCUUGAGUAAUUCAUUGCCUCCUACUCCCUGUGUGUCUUCUAAGUGCCUCCCCAGGUGUUUAAAUAGGCUUUAGAAUGCCUAAAAGCCCUCAAGAGUGGCCUUUUUCGAAUAAUACUGAACUUGGGCUCGACAGGGACACGCUUGUGUGACACGCCCGUGUGCGAUUGCUUCAGACCAUGGUCAAGGCUGUUAAAUAGGCACGGGCGUAUGGUCUAUCUGUGUGAGGAAGUCCAGGCCUUGUUAAUUUCCCAUGUUGGUCUAUUUUCUUCGUUUUCGGCCCAUUUCUUAUGCUCACCUAAGUAUAAAACAUGAAAUUAAAGGAUUAGGAGUAUCGAAUUCACCAAAUCUAAUGAUAAUUCAUCCAAAAAUAUGCUAAGCAUGAGGUAAGAAUAUGUAUAAAUUAUGGUUUAUCAAUGGACUAUCACAGAAGGUGUCAUAGGUUUCUCCAACAUGGGCUUAUACAUAAUUUCAUGUAUUGUGAUCUGCCAUUUCAAAUUAUACAUUAUCGAAGGCUACACCAUAAGCAUAUAUACAGACAUAUCUUGCAAUGGGUCUUAGCCAUAUAGCUUACACACACAUUCAUGUAUUGUAAUCUGCCAAUCCAAUCUUCAUCUUAUUAGAGGCUACACCAUGAGUGUUUCCAAAUCAAAGUAAGAUGUCAUGGGUCUCAACCUUAUAGUUUAUUCUUGUUUUCGUAUCGUGAUCUGCCAGUCUAGUUAGCAAUAUAACUGCCCUACCAGAGGCAUCAUAGAGGAAAAUUUGCUCAGCAUUUACUUCCCUAGAUGAUCACCUUUUUACUAGCUCAUACAUCUCCUACAUCAGACCUUACCUGCAUGCUUACCAAACAUUAUUCUUUUUAAUAGAAUUUAUACAUAUCAUCGUAGCACAUCUUUCAUCUUUGCUAAACUCAUAUUUAUACUAAUUUCUGUAGACAUCAUCAUCACAUAUAUAUAUGCUUCUUGUUUGAACAGUUCAUAUCAAAAAGUCAGGAUAGAGACCCACUUAACUCUCAUCUAUUGCAGUUCAAAGUUCUGGACUCAACCACCCUUCUCAAACCAACAGUAAAAACUGCUUACAAAACAUAGAAUCACCAUUAAAACUCAUUUACAUACAAAUUACCAUCAUCUUAAUCACUUUUCCGCUGCUAAUUAAUAAAUAAAUGUUGAGUAGUAAAUAAAUAAAAAAUUAACUAAGUUUUCAAAAAAAAAAAGUCACUGUGAUGAGAAGAAUAAGUUUUCAAAAACAAAAGUCACCGUGAUGAGAAGAAUGUCAAAAUUAAUUGGUUUUUGUUAACUCAUAUGUUUUUCUAAAAAUAGGUUAAGUUUUCUUCUGAAAUAAACAAAUAUUUUGAAAUGAUUGUUUUAUAAACUCCAAUCAUAGGCCAUCUUAGUGGUCGAUGUAAUCUCCCAAAUUCGGUUCUAACAUCUAGGUUGGGUUGGAGAGGUUACAAUAUAUAUAGAAGGAUUCAUCAAUAAUGGAAACUUGAAUACAAGCAAAGAAAGAAAUCAAUCAAUGUGAAUUACUAACAAGUUCAAAAGCAUAUAUUUGGAUUAUAUUUUGUAAAGUACAAGAAUGUCAAGGAAUUAGACAUUUUGUUUUGAUAGUGAUUAUAUUUUAUAUAUAUUUACUUUUAUGCACUUUCAUAUUGAGUUGAUCAACAGUUUUGAAACUUUAUAGAAAACUUCAAGGUAUCACUUGUUGCGUAAGUGAUAUUUUACUAAGGGUGCAUAAUUGGAGGCCUCCUAGAUAUGUGAAAAUAAUGUUUAAAAAUCCAUCAAAUAGUAAAAACAUAAAUGAAAUAGCAUAUUGAUAUAUAUGGUAUCUUGAGUGUUGAAUUAAACAUUCUUUAGUAAAAGAAUGUACAUUUUGCACAUUGUGGGUGUGUUGGUUUCUUAUAUAUCAAUUAAGCACAAAUUAAAGAAAAAUAAUAUAUAUCACCAUAGUGUUGUAAUAUUUUGUAAAAUUUGUAAAAUUAUAUAAGCAAAAAAGUUUACCUAUCUCGUUAAAUAAAACUCAUUGAGUUGGUUCUUAAUAUUGAAGAAUUAGAGUGGUUGACUUCUUUAUUCAUUUUAUCCAACUACAAGUUGGAUUAAAGUUGUGGAAAUAGAAUGGUUGAAAAUUUGUGUUAAUGAGAAUUAAAGUUGUGGCCACAACUGAUGCCGACUAUUUUCUAGAAACAGGGACUGAUGUCCAAAACAUGUAGUAAAAUAAAAUUUUAGACAUGUUAGCAUAUGAAUUUAUUAUAUUAUAGAUUCAAUGUAACACCCCUAUCCUAUCUCUGUUGCUGGAUUAGGAUUUCAGACUAUUACUAAGAAAAAUAGAACAUUUAACUUUCCAACAGAAACAAUUAUACAAUUAAAUACCAACAUAUAUCAAUUAAAUCUAAUCAUGGCAAAUAUUACACUUAUAGACCUUGAAUCGAGCCUAUGGAGCCCUAGAAAAAAUUUAGGAACAAUUUGGGAUCAAAUCGAAACAAAUCAAAACAUUUUGAAAAAAAUAUAAAAAUUUGGGAAAACAGGGGUCACACGGUUGUAUGGCCAAGUCGUGUGACAAAGCCUACACCGCGUAAACAUUAGAAGUCAAAACACUCAACUGUGUCCCAGCCUGUGUGUCUACUCAUGUGUAUAAUCGAAAUAGGGUCACACAGCUGUGCUGCAGACUGUAAACCGUGUGUGUAUUCGAAGUUAGGUCACACGACCAUGUGACCGACCGUGCCACAAACUGUUUUGAGACACACGGUCGUGUCACAGACCAUGUGAAAUAUGCACCUAAAAUAAUAAAUAUACACGACCAUGUGUGGUGACUAUGUGUGGCACAUGGUCGUGUGGUAGCUUGUGUCUCAGGCUGUGUGCUCCAUUUUUAACCCCUAAAUUAAGUUAAUCAAGCAUCAUUUCUUGCACAGCAAGACAUACCAUAUCUAACUAAUUUUACAUGGUAAAAAUCACAUUCAGAUCACCAAAUACAUACCAAAAUUUCAUUCAUCCUAUGUCUAACCAAUAUACCAUCAAAAGGCAUCUCAAUCCAUACAUUCAUUCAACUCAAGAACAAAGUUACAAUAAAGGAACAAGUUUUAUCAUUAGUUAACCAUUCAUGCCUAAAACCACCAAUCUAAUUGACGAAAAUAUGGGCAUACUCAACAAGCAACCAUUUCAAAACAUCAUCACCAAAUCUUUAUAUACCAUUUAGGAUCAACUUAAUUAUAUCCAACACAAGUACACAUCCAAAACAAAGCACAUCACUAGAAAUACCAAAAUAACUUAACGAUUUACACAUCAACAAUAAGACACCACAUCCCAAAAUGAAAUACAAAAGCUACCGAGAUGGCUGGAUAGUGUGUGCUCCAAAACAAUUCGUCUAGUCAGUCCAUAAAACGCCAACUCAACCAAUAUAGAUAAACAAAAAAGAUAAGUUCUAAUUCUUGAUAUUCAAAUGCAAGAUCACACCACAUUAGUAUAUAUUUAUUUACAUCAUAAAUGAUACCUUCCAAAAGUCAUAACCAAUUCAUCAUCCAAAAUUUCUCAAUACAACCAUUAACAUUUAUAAAACAAAAACUUCAUAGAAACAUUUAUCAUUUAGUAGUAAUAUAACUAUCCAACAAAAUUGAACAAAUAAAUGAGUUUUAAGUCAUUUGAUGCAUAUCCCGCUGAACUAUAGUAACUAGACUCGGAUACUCAAUGAUGCAUAACAGAGGCACCAAAGUGCAAACAGAGGAAGGAAUAUGCAAUCAAAGGCAUUGAAGUGCAAACAAAUGCACCAAAGUGCAAACCCGUACAAGCGCACAUUAAAACCCUAUUGGCAUACUAAUCGUAUCCUAAUCAUUUACUAUGUUCAAUGGGGCAUUAAGAAUGGGGCAUUAUACUUAAAAUCGCAAUACCAAUAAAUCCAUCAUUUAGAGGCACUUCUUAUUUCCGUACACAUAAUAACAAUAAUUACCAUCAUCAAACAUUCAUUUUAUAUUUGUACUUAAUUACAAAUUUUAAUAAUAUAUAAGUAACUAAUGAAAUUUCCCAUAUAUACCAUUAACUAGAAAAAAAUAAUAUAAUCAUAAAGAGAUACACAUAUACAUAUUAUUACAUUAUGAACUUACCUGCAAUCCACUUCCAAAUAAUAUACAGGGACUACUCCGCAAUUUUUCUCUUUCCUCGAUUAUUGUCUUUUUGACUCGGUUCUUGAUCUAUAUAAUAAUUAAAUUUAAUUUAUUAAAUUUACAUAAUUUAAAAAUCAAUUCAAUGCAUGACACCCUUAUGUUUUCAUUAUUUUCACAUUUUCCUUAAACUUUUACAUUUCUCACAAUUUAGUCCCUAAACCCGAAAUUCCAAAAUUUAACAAAAUUUUACAAUUUUCCAUGCUAGCCGAACUUCUUUCUAAACUAGUACAAUCCCCAAUUAUUUACAAUUCACAAAAUUUCUAUGCAAAUUUUAAUUAUUUACACAUUGAUCAUUAAACUCAAAAUUAACACAAAUUCUUUUACAAAAAUAUCCUAAUCAACAUUCAAAUAUAUACAACUACCAUUAAAAAUCAUGAACACCAAAAUUCCAUUACUAACCAAUCCCUAAAACUUCAACAUUUUUAUAAUUUCAUCCUCAGGUUUAAUAGUUUAAGCUACAACGAGUUCAAAAAAUAUAAAAAUUAUUAAAUAUGUGAGAGAGAAACACUUACAUGCACCAAUUUGCUAACCGAAACUUUAAGCUCAAAAAAUGGAGUUUCUUUUUUUCUUUUUCUUUUUUGGUAGGAGAGAGUUGAGAAGAUGAUGAUACCAUAUUUUAUCUUUUGUUUCUUUUCUUUAAUUAAACUAAUUACCAAAUUAACCUUUUAAUCUGAACUAAAUUAUUAACAUAACAUGACCAUAAUUUUCCAUUAACUAACCAUAAGGUUUAUCUAUCAAUCAAGUCCAUUAUUUUAGUUUUUCUUUAAAAAUCAAGCACAUUUAACUAAUAAAAGCUACUUUAGCAUAUUUUACAAUUUAGUCUUUUUUACUAAAUUAACUAACUAGACAUUAAAAUUUCUUAUCCAAAUUUUAAUACGACUCAAAUAUAACUCUAUAAACAUAAAAUAAACAUAAAAUACUAACUCACUUGUUGGAAUUAUGGUCCUGAAAUAACCAUUUUCGAUACUACUGAAAAAUGGGAUAUUACAUUCAAUCUCUAAUUUAUGCUAAUGAAUGUGAGAGAAUAAUUUUCUUUGUAUAGUAAUACUACAACUAGAAUGUGUUUCGAUCCUAUUCUUAGAAACUGAUAGUAGAAACCCAACUUUUAAUUAGAAACCUCUUGUUUUAAAGUUCAAUGGGUAAAAGCAAGUUAUCGUUAUAUGUCUGUGAUACACUAGUAAAACUCAUUAUAGAAAAAAAAAGUUUAAUGGAAACUAGUGUUAUCCAUUGCGUAUAGAGGAUGAAUUUGAAUACUAUUAAUGAAGUUCAUUGUUUAUUGUUUAAAUGUCUAAAGCAAGGGAAACAUUAAAAGAACUCUACCUAUAUAAACAUAAGAAGUGAUGCCACUUCAACAAGUAAAGGUAGGGUCUCUCUUGUAAAUGUUUAUUAUGAACAAGAUAAGCACAUGAUCAUUUUAGUGCUAAAAGUGAACAACCUCUGAUAGAAAUAUAAAUGAAUAUUAUGUGUAGUGUAUUUCAACUUCUAAUACUAGGAGUUGUGGUUCAAUCUUCGGACACCAACGACUUAUUAGAACUUUGAAAAGCAUCCGCUAAUUGAUGGUUCAUAUUGAGAGAUAUCAUCUUAUAUGCAUAAUAUUUGUUGGAGUGAAUGGCUAUAAAGUAUGGUACCAACAUUUAAACUAAGGGUGAUUGUUAGUAGUUUAUAAUGUUGGCAGUAAAAAUAUUUUAUUAUGUAGAAAAGUCUAAUAACUUAUAAUUAUUGGCCAAAUAAUUGUGUUGUAAAGAGAAUUUUUGUAUGUAAAGUUGUCUUAUAAACUUUAUGUAAAGUUGUGUUGUAAAACAACACAAUUAUAUGAAAAGGUAUCUUAUUAAAAGAUAUAUUCAUAUUAAAGGGUAUCUCAUAAAAGAUACAUCUAUUGGAUGUCUAUAUAAAAGACUUUUCUAUUAGUCAUUUAAAUUGUUUUACUUGGAGUGUUGAGGCCUUUAUUGUAUCUUGAAGGUAUUUUAAAAUCUUAAAGAAAGUGCUCUACAUGCCUCAAAGUCGUUAUAUUUUAUAACAUUAUUUUAUUUUUCUAACUUCUAUUUUCCUAUUAUUUAUUUUUCUAACAGCCAGAAUAUAGAAAAAUUAUUAUGUUUCUAACUAUAUAUUAAAUACGAGUACUACUUGGAAGCCAGCACCCACAAACAUGAUAAAAGUUAAUUUUGAUGAGAGUUUUGACGUGGAAGCAAGAAAUGAGGAAGAGGGUAGUUAUGCAGCAUUGUGAUGGUUUUUUAGUCCGACUACGCAACCAUCCAAUUUAGGGUGCGUUCUACAUUAAGGUGAAAAAGCACUUAAAAAGAACAUUUGGUUUUUACACUUAAAAGUGUGAUGGAAAAAUACUUUUUCAUUCAAAUACAAAAAUUAAGAUAUAAAUGCUUUUGACUUUUAGCUUUUACAUUAGAAUGUGAAAAUUAUCAAAUACUAUUAUUUAUAUUAACUAUUUAAAGUGUAUAUAAAAAUUAGAUUAAUUUAUAUUUUAUAUAUCAUUAUAUUAAAUUAUUUAAAUAUUAUUUAUUAUUAUAUCUUUUAAUAAUUUAUAUAUCAUCUAUUUUACAAAUAAUUUAUAUUAAUUACUUCAAAAAUAUUUGGAACUUAUAUUUCAUGUACCAUUAUAUUAAAUUAUUUAAAUAUUACAUAACUUAAAAUGUCCUUUUCUUUAGACAUGAUAGACUUUUAACGGGAAUUUUUUGUAGUAACGGAGAACACCAAAAACUAAUGAGUACAUUUUUUCAUAGCACUUUUCUACCACUUUUCAACUACAACGGUAAUGGAGAACUAAUCCUUACUAAAGUUACCGAAGCACUAGCUUCCACUGUAGCCAUUGAAAUGGGGCUCCAAUUGGGAUUGCAACACAUUAUUAUUAAAAGAGAUGCUCUCUAAGUGGUUUCGAAGUUGAAGGAAGACAAAGAAGACCUACCAACAAUCGGACCUUGAUAGCAAAGAGUUGAAUACUUGCUAAACAGGUUCAGCAAUGUAGGUUUCAACAAAGAAAGAGGCAUGCUAAUGAGGUGGCACAUCAUCUGGCCAAACAGGGUGCAAUGCCCAAUUUCUGCCCGGGCCUAAUCAAAACAGCCCAAAGCAGAAAGCCCAAUUUUUCUAGACCUAGCCCACAACUAUUUUCAGCACCACCAUGCACCCAUUUUCUCCACCACUCUUCCACUCCAGAACACCCACGAACGGUUUCCCUCCAUGCCAUACAUACCUGCAAAAUAGAUUAAUGACUCAUAGCAGUUGACAGUAGAAAGAAAUAACAACAGGAAACGGUUUUGUACUUGGCUAUAAAGCCUUUGAAUUUUUCAUUGUUUGGUUUUUUUUUCUUUCUUUUUUUUUUCAGAGAGAUUGUACACGAAAUACAUACAAAAAUCAAUAGAAAGCAAUUCAAAGGUGAUUUAUCGCUAUUUAUUGUGUUUUUUUUUUCAAUUGGGUUUACAUACAAGUAUAAAAUAUAAGAGAGAACGAGAGGCUUACCGGAGUUAUAUCGCAUUCACGCCGUCGGUAGGACUAGCUCCGUUGGUCACGAACAGAUUUUGGGAGUGGUUGGGGGCUUGAAAGGAGCCUUUCGGCUGGAGAAUAAAGGGAGAGUGAGGGAGAUGAUAUAAUAUCCAAGGCAUUUAGGGUUUUUUUUUUUAAAUAAAAGUUAAAAAGUUUUCUUUUAAGCACAAUUUUUAAAGCGGGUUUUAGGUGAUAAGAAUGAAACAGCAUGGGGAAGGGAAAGGAAUAGCGUGUUUAACUUGGUCCACGUGCAUUUACCCCUUAAAUGGGUAAUUUUCGUUAUCAGUCCUCCUUACUUGCGUCACCCUUUAUUUGAUCCUAUUCUGUUUCUUUUAUUUUUGCCUUGAAUUUUGCGCACCGUUCCAAUUUAGUCCGAGCAUGAGUGUUGCUUUUUUGGGGUUGGGAACAUUUUCAAUUUUAGCCCUUAUACAUUCACGCGCAUUGCGCUUUGGUCCCUAUUUCAAUUUCAAUGGUUUUUUUAUUUGUUAAUUGUCCCUUUAAUUUUGCUUUUCUUCCAAUUAAGUUUUUAUUUAUUUUUUCCAUAAAAUAAGAAUAUAUUAUUUUAACAUAUAGUUUUGUUCAACAAAAUUCAUAUAUAUUUUUGUAUAUAUUAUUUUAACAAAAUAAGAAUAUAUUGUUUUCUUCAUAUGCAUAUUUAUUUGUUUUUUCUUCCAAAAUAAUUUCAUAUAUCAUUUUGUAUUUAUAUACUUUACUUAUAUUAAGUUUGCUUUAUAUCAUGUAUAUACGUAACUUAUACUAAGUUAUCUUUACUCUAAGUGUACAUUAUUGACUUCCUUUUAUUUUAUGUAAAUAUUUCCUUUUAUUUUAUUUUUUUAUGUAUAUUAUUGAUUUUAUGUUAUUUUAUGCUUGUUUAUUUUCUUCUAAGGACCCUAUUUUAAAUGGUAUAUUUUAUUUAUUUUCGUAUGCUAGUACCUUUGUUUUUUUUAUGUAUAAAUUUUCAUUUCAAGUAUUAUUUAUUUAGAUUGACAAAUACUAUGCUAUGUAUUACUUUUUUUAUAUAUAUACAUUAUGUGUCUUGAAAUAUCGUUUAUAUAUUAUUAUGUCGUACAUUAUUUUUAUUUUUAUUAUUUUUUGACCUAUUCCAGACUGUCAUAUAUGUUACCUUAAGAUUUUUAUACAUUUGUUUGAUUGCAUACUAACGAUUCCAAAUUGCAUUUCUUCUAUAUUAUCUAUAUUAUUUGUUAAAACUUGCCACAUACUUUUAUCUCAUGUACAAAACUAAGCUUGUACACAUGUUAUUGCAUCAUGAUCUUUAAAUUCCAACUCUUUGCCCAACAUCAAUCGUUUUUUAUCCCCAAGCAAACCAAACAAGUAUUUUUAAUUCGGUUUUUAUAACUGUUAAUUUAAAAAUUUCCCAAAACAAAGGCAAUGUUUGAUGUUUGAAAUUUUGGAAAUCGUGCCCUAACGUACUGGGUUUCGAUUUUUCGUUUAUCCAAAAUAAUCAAGUAUCCCCUUUAAAGUUUCGUAUGUGUUUUCUAAACUUCAAAACAAGGCAAUGUUCUAUGUUUUGGAAAUCCGAGAAAUCGUGCCCUAACGUGUUGGAUUUCAAUUUUUCGUUGGACCAAAUGAUCGAGUAUCCUUUUGAAAUUUCAAAUAUAUGAGCUUUUGGAAAUUAAGACUCGGUUGUGGUUUCGAGGGUUUAGAAAGUUAUGUCUUAACGUGCUGGAUGUGAUAUUUUAUUCCUUCAUAACAAAAGAAUUCUUAAUGACCAAUUUGAGUUAUUCAAAUAUUUUAAAAGAAAUAGUAUUUCAAAAUAUCUUUUAAAUUUUAGACAUAAGGACAUUGAUUAAUCAAUUAGGUACCAAUUUUGGGCGUCACGAGGGUGCUAGCCCUUCCUCGUGCGUAACCGACUCCCGAACCCUUUUUUCUCGACUUACGUAGACCUGAAAUUAUUGUUUUAAUAAAUCAAAAUGUUUUAUUAAAAUGAUCAAUUUCAAGGUGAUCCGAUCCCACCUCAGAAGGGAUCGGUGGCGACUCCAAACUUUGAUUUUUCAAAGUCGAUCCCCGUUUUUUUCAAACUUUUAGAAAAUGGUUUCGACACAAGGCCUUAAUUGUUUUCCAUCUUUUGUUCAUAUGUUUGUUUUGAAAAGGUAAAACAAAUCCUCACCUAUUGAUGUUAGAACGGUUGAAUUGCUAAAAGCAUGCUGCGUGCAUAACCAUGCUUUAGGUUAGGCUUCAAAUCAAAUAAAUUUUAAAUUAUUUUUAUUUGAAUUUAAUUAUAAAAAUAUAUUAAUAUCAAUAUAAAAUUAUAUACAAUUUUAAGAUAUUUUAUUUUUCAAUAAUAAAACGAAUCAUCUACCAACCCUAAUUCUUCAGUUUUCUUUUUAAUUAGAUGAUAACUCAAGCCAAGCUAACCAAUAAACACCCAAAAUCUACCAUCAUUUUCAUUUUUUUUUCUUUUGUCACAAAGUAGACAGAAGAUUCGGUUUGGAUAAGCUCUACGUUAUUAAGUCAAAAGCUGAAGUAAUUUUAAUCAUAAAUUGUUUUAUUUGUUUAUAAUGCAAAACAAUGACCCAAUUAAUACAAUAAAGCUUUAACUUUGUGGGAAUUUUCAGUCCAAAAAAAAAAAAACAAUUUGUGGAAAUUUUAGAGCAGUUGACCAUUUCUUCCGAAUUAGUUUUCUCACUUCUUGUCCAUAUUCCAUGUAUAUUAUUUCAAGAAAUUAGGUUUAGAAAAUUGCAUAAUUCAACCAUUGAACUAAUAAAUAUUAAAGAAAAAUUGGGUGGCAAAAAUAUCUUAUUAAAAGCGAAUCAUAUACUAUUAAUAGAUUUUAUGAUUAAAUUAGUUUCACGUGUUAACGGGAUAUUAACUUGAUUUAGUAAAUUAUAAAAAUGUCUUUUAAUGUUUAAAAUAAAUUAUAUUAUUUGAAGAUAUUUUAAUUUUUUUAUUAAAAAAGGAUGAUGUCUCAAAUUAACUCACAAUCUAAUUUAAUUUUUUAUUUUAAUAUCGUAAAUGUUUCAUGUUUUAUUAUUAAUUUGUUUCAAAUUAUACAUUUCAUUAUUUAUUUUAUGUUAUUUUUAAACAUAUUUGUGUUCUAAAUACCAAAUUUUCACUUAAGGGUAUCAGAGACGAAUCUAGAGAGGCUAGUAGGGGCCCCGGUCUCCUUAAAAUGAAAAUUAUUAUUUAAGCCCUUUAGAAAAUUUUAAAAUUUUAAAUUAGUAAAUGUAAAAUUGCACUUUGACCCCCUAAAAUUAUAAAAAUUUAAUUUAAUCUUUUAAAAAUUAUAAAGAUAUAAACUAGUAAAAAUUAAAAUUUCAUUUCGAUCCUCCCUAAAACAUAUUUUUGGCUUCACCUAAAGGGUAUGACUAGUAUGAAUAAUUUUCUUUGGAAGUCUUAAACAAACAGGAGUUAAGUAAAAAGGAGUUUUCAUACAUACAUAUUCGGCGUUGAUGUUUCCCUUUCGAAAAUUUAAAUUAAGACAUAGGAAAAGAAACUAAAAUUGAGCUUAAUUUAUGCAGUUGGGUUCAAAAUUUAAUAUUUAAAUAUAAAAAUUCUAAUAAUUCGAUCUGGUCCGUUUCAUCUAGCAGACUAAUAAUAAAUCUUAAAACAUAUUAUAUUUUAAUUUUAAUAAAACCAAAACUGAUACAUUUGACCUACAUCUACAUGUGAUCUAUGCUUAAUUAAAUUAGUCUAAAUUAGACGAGAUCUUGAUUAGGAGUCAUUUAUUUAUAUUAUAAGUCCCUGAAACAUGCAAAACUUACAUUUAAAAAUUAAUAUUUUUACGUUGUUGUUAGAAUAUAGGGUUUGUUAAUGUUUUCGUGUGAAGUCAGCUGUUGACAUUACCAACCAGAUAAUGAAAAGGGAACAUGGCAAUUAUUCCAUCCUAAUUGUCACACACACACACACACCUAAUUAAGUUAAUCCAAAAAUUACCUAACGUUUAGCAUUUCAAUGGUAGAGUCAGCUCUUUCUUCUAGUCUAUCAAAAAAAAAAAAUCAAUUUAACCCCUAACUCUUGGAUGGAAAAGUUUUUGCUAUGAACUUGUUGAAGUGAAUCUAAUGUGAUAUAAACACAUCACAAUCCAUGUGUGUAAUUAAAAAUAAUAGAGAGAGAUUGAAUAAUUUAAAGGGAAAAAAAAAGAAUUUACUCCCUCCACUAACAGGUAACUCUUGCAGCUUGAAUCUACAACGUAUGUAUGAAAGUGAACACCUUUAAUUAAUGAAUAAAUACUAAAGUUCUAGGUUUAGAAUUAAUUAAAUAUCAAUACAAAAAGUUAAUUACUUUUUGAAAUAAGGAUAAAUCGGUUUUUGAGGUUUGAUAAUUUUUCACAUAUCGAGGUUUGAAUUUUUUUAUCUUAAGUUCUAAACUUGACAAUAGUUCUCAAGAUGUGAAGGUUUUUUUUUUAUCCAAAUUAGGCUAUGAACUUAGAUAGAAAUCUUAAAAUUCAACCCUAAUGUAGGUAUAAUUGUCAAGUUAAAAAAAAUUCAAAUCUUAAUAGAAGAAUAAUCUACUAAUUGGUAACCCUAAUAUAAAAACAAUUGUUAAGUUGAAAACUUAAUUUUUUUUAAAAAUUCAAACCCUUAUUAACUUUAGGAUUUAACCCUUUGAAAUAUUGCGUUAAUUAAUAAGUGUAAGAAUUAUUUUGUGUUAAUGAUUAAAUAAAUAUUUAAGUGGAGAUCAAGUUUUACCUCAUUUGUCAAUUGUCAGGUGAAGAAUAUAUACCCUAAAGGCCUAUCAAAAACGGACCUAUCUCUAUAUAUCUUUACUAAUUUACUAUUCAUUUUUAAUGAAAAGCAAUAAAUUAAUGAAAACGCUAUAAAACGAAAACUACAUGAAUAAAUUAUAUGUGUAAAAUUGAAAUAUUUCGUGACGACAUUAUUGAAAAAAAUAAUCAUUAACCUUAAAUAUAAACAAUUAUGACAUUUCUAUAAAAUAUCAUUUAAUAUAUUGCAUCAAAGUUUUAAAAAAUGUUAUGUGUAUACUUUUACCUCGUAUAAAAAAGUCUUUCAUUUCUCAAUUCUUAUGGCAUAGUAAAUUUAUUAUUAAUUUUUAAAAAAAAUGGUUAUUAUUUGUGUAUUAAAUAAUUAUUGGGAUAAAUUUUAAAGUUGUACAUGGAUUUUGGUUACAUGUUAAUUAUAAACAUUAACUUUGAUUUUAUAUAAUUUUAUAUAUGAAAUUUUAAUUUGAUCCAAUUCUCAUAAAUUAUUAACAUAAUUAUUGAUAUAAUAUCAUUUUAUGUUUAUAUGCUAUAUACAGAAAUAAUUAUAUUUAUUCAAUAUAAAAAUUAAUUGAUGUAUUUAUUUCUUUAAACGUAUAUGAUUGAAUCAAAAUUAAAACAUCAUGUAUACAUUUGAACCAUAACUAAAAUUUUACAUAUAUAAUUAUACAAAAUUACAAUUCAUAUACGUAAUAAACUAAAAUUCAAUUUUUUUAUAAAAUUAACCUAAAAAAUUUAAUUAAUUACAUAAAUGACCCUUUUUUUUAUUAAACACGUAAAUGACCUAAAAUCUACCGUGAAAAUUGGUGGAAGCAAAGAGUUUGGCACCACCAACAUGCCACGUCAGCAACCAAGAUAAAAAAAAUCAACUUUUUGGUAGAGCCAUGCAUAAUAGUGCUACUUGUAUAAAUAUCAGGAAAAUACUAUAAUUUCUAAAAAAUAAGGGACUUUAAUAAAAAAAAAUUCUAUUUUCUGGUGGAGCCAAAUAAAUUGGCGCCACCAGUUUCCAAUGUGAUUUUUUUUAAAGUUUUCUAAAAUUUUAAAUAUAUUAAAAAAUGUUAAGUAUAAUUAAUUUUAAAAGUUUAAUAUAUUUAAAAAUUUAAUAUACUUAAUAUAUAUUUUUAAUAGGUAAAGAAAAAAAUGAUUUUUUAAUAUAUUUAAAAUUUUAAAAAACUUAAAAAAUUUAAAUACUUUAAAAAAUAUUAAGUAUAACUAAUUUUAAAAUUUUAAUAUAUUUAAUAUAUUUUUAAAAUAUUUUUAAAAUUUUUAAUAUAUUUAAAUUUUUUAAAGUUUUUUAAAAUUUUAAAUAUAUUAAAAAAAAUUUCCUCAUUACCUAUUAAAAAUAUAUUAAAUAUAUUAAAAUUUUAACAUAUAUUUUUAAAAUAUAUAUUAAAUAUAUUAAAAUUUUAAAAUUAGUUAUACUUAACAUUUUUUUAAUAUAUUUAAUUUUUUACUAUUUUUUAAAAAUUUUAAAUAUAUUAAGAAAAUAUUUUUUAUAUUUACCUAUUAAAAAUAUAUUUUAAGUAUAUUAAAUUUUUAAAUAUAUUAAACUUUUAAAAAUAAUUAUACUUAACAUUUUUUAAUAUAUUUAAAAUUUUAGAAAACUUUAAAAAAAAUUACAUUUGAAACUGAUUGGCUCCACCAGAAAAUAGAAAAUUUUUAUUAAAGUCCCCCCAUUUUUUAGAAAUUAUAAUAUUUUUUUGAUAUUUAUACAAGUGGCGCCAUUCUACAUGGCUCUAUCAAAAAGUUGAUUUUUUUUAUCCUGGUUGCUGACGUGGCAUAUUGGUGGAGCUAAACUCUUUACCUCCACCAAUUUUCACAGAAAAUUUUAAGUUAUUUAUGUGUUUAAUCAAAAAAAUAGAUCAUUUAUAUAAUUAAUUAAAUUUUUUAAAUUAAUUUUAUAAAAAAAACCCUAAAAUUCAUAUAUAUAACUGUAAGAUUUAUGUCCACAAUUAUCUAAAGCUAAUCGGUGAUAAUUACUAUGGAAAUUCAAUGUACUUAACUAAUUGAUUGAUAGGAACAAGCAUGAUGAAAUCCAUGAUUGGGAAGAGAGAGAAUUCAAAAACUGAACGCCCCAUUAAUCCAUGCGAAUAAACUUUUUCGGUAUACAUCAUAAUUCAUUUAAUUUUAUCAUUAUCUCUAUGCUAUAAUUAUGUUUAAACUAAAAUACUUGAGACAUUAAUAGUUUGUGUUAUAUAAAUUAUGAUAUCCAUAUAUCCAUAUUAUAUAUAUAUUUUUAUAUUAUGAAUGCAUUUAAAAAAAAAUUAUGAAAAAUGUAGAGUCCGCAAAUAAAAAAUGGCUUACAAAUUAACAGAAAACCAAUUUUAUUUCUUGUAAAUUGAUUUACCAUAUUAAAAAGUGUAAAUCUUUUUUUAAAUUUAUUUACGAGUAAUUUUAUUUUUAUAAAAAUUAAUUUUAGCCAAGCCUAAUAUUAUUUUAUUAAUAAUAUUAUUUUUAUUUUUAUUUUUAAACAAUUUAAAAUUAUUAAUAUCAAAUAUUAUAAUGUUGAAUCCUAGUAACAUACAUAUUAAAUUAUUUAUAUUAUGUUAUAUUACAAUUUUAUUUUAAUAAUAAAUUUUAACAACAAUAAUUUUAAAUUUUAAAUCGUAUUUUUAAUAUAUUAUUGAAAAAUAUUUAUAUUAAUAUUUUAAUAAUAAAUAUAUAUUAAAAUUUAUAAAUAUUUAAUAAUAAAUUUUUUAUAGUAUAAAAUAUGAAUAUUUUAAUUAUAUAGAUAUGAGUAUUUGUUUAAAUCAUGCUUAAGUUCAUUUAUCUCCCAACUCUAAUGUGUCAUUAUACACUGUCAUAUAUAUAAUAUAUGUAAUUUAAGCAUUAUUUAUUAUUAAAUUUAUAUAUGAUAUUAAUUAUAAUAAAAUAUUAUCUUAUUAUAAAAGAAAUUCCAAUUGUCAAAAAGAAAUGUUACUCUAAUAUUUUGUAAUAAGUAUAUUUAUAUUGUAUUUGUUUCACUAAUAACAAAUUUAAAAUGAUUUUAGAAAAAAAUAUCAAAAAAUAAAAAAUAUUUUAAUCAAAAUAAUUCAAAUAAAAAAAACUAAACUUUUCCAUGAAAUCAAUCCAAUUUUAAGAAAACAUUAAAAUUGUUUUAGGUGAAACAAAAGGAACCUAUAUUUUAUAUAGUAUUUGAAAAGUUGUUGUAUCUAGAAUUAUUAUCUUUAAUUUUUUUUAGGUCUAUUUCUAAUUUUCAAAAAUUGAGAAGUUAAUUUCUCUAUUUUACUUUAUCAGUCCGUGCUUAUUUUUUAUUAAUUUGUUGUGUAUAAAUGGUUAAACUAUUGAUUUUUGUUAAUUACUAGCAUGUAAAUUGUUAAACUACUUGUUCCCAAGUCAACAGUAAAGCUUAAUAGUAUUAUCAAUUUGGAAUAAUUUCUGAGAUUUUUCUUUUAUUUUGCGUGAUUAAGAUAUUUUUCAUGUACGGUUUAAGGUUUAUGAAGACUAAUCCUUUCGAGUUUAUAACUACCCUUUUUAAUAAUGUCGUCUUUAAAAUUCGAGUUCUCUUUCUUGUAAGUACAAUAUGCCUUACAUUUAUAACUAAUACUUCUUAUUUUUGUAAAAUAUAAGAAUCAAAUUAUGUAGUAAGAUUAAUUUCUAGAUUUUUUAAAUUUAAAAUUUAACAUUUAAAAUAUUAUCAAUCACAUCACACACAAAACCAAAGAGCAAGAGAAUCUAAAAAACACGUGGACCAUUAAUUUAGGAAUGGACAGAAACUCAUGCAAAAUGGUUGGAAAACACGUACAGGAUUAUAUAUACUAAUCAUUUUUAUUAUUAAGCAGAAUUGGAAAUAAAUAAAUACGGGCGAAACCACUGAAUAAUACAGCAUUGAAAUGCAAUUUGUCUACAUCAUUAUUGUUCUUCACUUCAAACGCGGAGACUAGUCUAGGGUCCCAAUCUUUUGCUUUAUCUCUCUAGAUAUAUCCUUUUCAAACUAUCUUUUUGUAGCUUUAUUUGCAUCACAGCAUUAUCUUUUCCUGCAAACAACUGUUUAAAGAUUAAAACAUGCAAAACAUUCUGAAAUAAUGCACCCUGACCAGAUGACAAAAAAAAAAGAGGAUUCUAAUGUAUCUUACCUUGGAUUGGAGCACGGUCAAAGCCGUGGCUUAGUAGUGGUGAGGAGGAGGGGGUGAAGCGUAGACAUAAUGGGGUGGGGGUGGAGGAGGAGACUUGUAUUUGUAAACUGGAGGAGGAGGUGGUGGAGACUUGUACUUGUAAGGGUGCUUGGGGGGUGAUGGUGGGGGUGGUGGGGGUGACUUGUACUUGUAGGGGUGCUUGGGUGGUGACGGUGGGGGUGGGGACUUGUACUUGUAAGGGUGCUUGGGGGGUGAUGGUGGUGGUGGUGGAGGUGACUUGUACUUGUAGGGGUGCUUGGGUGGUGACGGUGGUGGUGGUGGGGGGGACUUGUACUUGUAGGGAUGCUUUGGUGGGGAUGGUGGUGGUGGUGGUGGGGACUUGUACUUGUAGGGAUGCUUAGGUGGGGAUGGUGGUGGUGGUGGAGACUUGUAUUUGUAAGGAUGCUUUGGUGGUGAUGUUGGUGGAGGUGGUGGGGACUUGUACUUGUAAGGGUGCUUGGGUGGUGAUGGAGGUGGAGGUGGUGGAGACUUAUACUUGUAAACUGGAGGUGGUGGGGGUGGAGACUUGUACUUGUAGGGGUGCUUGGGUGAUGAUGGAGGUGGAGGUGGUGGAGACUUAUACUUGUAAACUGGAGGUGGUGGGGGUGGAGACUUGUACUUGUAAGGGUGCUUGGGUGGUGAUGGUGGGGGUGGGGACUUGUACUUGUAGGGGUGUUUAGGUGGUGAUGGUGGUGGUGGUGGUGGGGACUUGUACUUGUAAGGAUGCUUGGGUGGUGAUGGUGGUGGAGGUGGAGGAGACUUGUACUUGUAAGGAUGCUUGGGUGGUGAUGGUGGUGGAGGUGGUGGAGACUUAUACUUGUAAACAGGAGUUGGUGGGGGAGGAGAUUUGUACUUGUAAGGUUUCUUGUGUGGUGGUGGUGGAGGAGAGUAGACCGGAGGAGGCGGUGGGGGAGACUUGUAAUGGUAGGGUGGUGGUGGGUAUUUCUUAGGAG
rnacentral:lncRNA from 1 species